rnacentral:lncRNA from 1 species
CCACCCAUAUCUCUCUUUUUCUUUAUAAAUGUAAAUAUAAAUUAAUAUAGAAUAUGAAAUCUAUGUACAUACUUUCUCAAUUUCAUUUGUUUGUUUGAUCCAUUUAAUACGGAUAAUCCGAAUUCGAUGGAAACCUCUUGAGAUUUCGAAAGGGGGUUAUCCCAUGAAUGGUUAACGGUAUAAACUCUGAUAUCAAAAAAUAAAAUGAGUCAAUAAAACAAAACAUAAAUCCAAUUUCUAAAAAAAGAUCUUAAAAAAAAUUGCCGGCCGGUCUAGAAAACUAAAACAAUUGAUACAGGUUGAUAGAGUUUGAUUAUUAUCGCAAUUAGGAGUACUUCUAGAGUCCACUUCUUCCCCACACUACGAGAGAGAGGGAAAAUGUAAAAACUACCAUUAAACCAGCCCAUGCGAGACUUACUAUAUCCAUGUGAAUUCUGUCCCCUAUGAAUAUGAAGAAACUUUUCCAUUAUUGUUCACUAAUAAUAGUGAAAUCACUGGUGCAGAGUCAAAAAAAGGGAGAGAUAUUUGGUCACCAUUGAUGAACUACUCCAAAAAAUCCACUUAUCUUAUACUGAGUUAUUCUUAAUUAUAGAAUUUCUAGUAGAAUCGACAAGAUGUAAACACAAGUAAACAGAUACUUUUCGAAGUAUCCAAAAAAUCUGACUCAUAUGUAGAAAGAAUAAUCUUUUUUCUUUCUUUUAUCGUUUUUUAUUUUUAUUUGAAGUAAAACGAAAGGCAAUUCUUCAUCUAAUCUAAUAUUGAUUGAAUGUCUGAGCAUUCCGACACUUUCAUGAGUCUAUAUCCAAAGUAUCUUAGAUCCUUUCCAAAACUAUUAAUUUAAUUCCCUCUCUGCCUAUCCAAUCUAAUGGAUUUCCCUCCACUCGUUUUAGUUUUCCUCUAAUCUGAUAGGUAAAACUUUAGGUUAGAGAAUAGAACCUCGAGAGCCAGGGGCUUAGAAUCACGAAAAGAAAGUAUCAAGAGUCUUUUCCUACGUUUGUUAUAGUUUUAUAACAGGAGAUUUCAAGUCUCCUGUUGAGGCGGCACCCGGAUUUGAACUGGGGAAAAAGGAUUUGCAGUCCCCCGCCUUACCACUCGGCCAUGCCGCCAAAAUGAUUUGUACUAGAUUCAAAUUUUCUCUUGUUUUUUUUUCAACUCCGAAAAAAAUAUAGAUUUUCAGUCACAAAAUAUAGAAUCUAGUACAAAUCAGAACCAUUAACUAUUGACUGUAAAUUCAUGACCUUUUUUGAAUUCAAAUUUACAUUUUUUAUUUCUAAUAAUAUAAGAUAAGAAAAUCAUUAGAAAUAGAUUUAUAACUAAUCUAUUUUGAGUUUUUUCAAUUAAAAAGAAAUCUUCUUCCAUUUGAAUUAUAACACUAAUAAUGAGUAUAUGUAAACCCCAGAAUCAGAACAUACGUUACCUUGUAUAGCUCUAUAAUGGGGUAUUUUAUCUCUCUAGGGAUGCUUUUGAGGAGUAAUUCUCAAUAAAUUUUUGUAUUGAAAUUUUUCAUUGAAUACAUUGAAAAAAAUUUUUAAUUUUUGGUAGAGCACAGCAUGUGCUGUUCCAAAUAGAACUGUACCACAAUAAAAGAAGAAAAAGAGACAUAUAUAUAUACCUGUGCAUUCUUUUUUAUUUUAAUAAUAAUUAAAAUUAAUAAAUAAAAAAACAUACGUUUUCUUACCUACUUCAAUUCAAUGAUAUUCUAAAUAUUCUAUUCAAAAUAGGUAAAAAUCCAUCUUUUUUCUGCAACUAUUUUUUUGAACAAUGAAAUACAAAUACAUGAAAAAGUAAAGUGUUUAAAAAAAAGUUUUCUAUUUCUUAUAUGUUUAUCUGCUCGAACAGAUCCUAUCAUGAAUACCGUUUUUUAUGGUAUGCGAUCGAAUUGGAAUAUGUAAUAUCAUAGGUGAAAAUGAAAUUACUUUUUUUCUAGUCGUUACAAAACUCCAUAAGUUCCAGCGGUAUUUCUAAAUUCUGUUCCAUUCGGAUCUCUUUCUUAUAAAAAAAAUUCCAAUUGAAUCUAGUCUCCGUUCAUACGGAUUUCAUACAUUCCAUAUAUCUUGGAGUUGGAUAAAAUUUCAUGUGAUUCAGUAAACAGAAUAGAAAUUCCAUUAUUGCUAGAUCGAAUUCUAUCUAUAUGAUUCGGUGAAGAAUGAGAUAUGGGAUUUUUAAAAUAAACGGAUAAAUGAUAAAUUCAAAAAAGAUGCUCGGGGAUGGAAAAGAGGGAACAUCUACAAUACCCGGAUUUAAUCAGAUACAAUUUGAAGGGUUUUAUCGGUUUAUUGAUCAGGGUUUAAUAGAAGAACUUUCGCAAUUUCCAAAAAUUGAAGAUAUAGAUCACGAAAUUGAAUUUCAAUUAUUUGUGGAAACAUAUCAAUUGGUAGAACCUCUGAUAAAAGAACGAGAUGCUGUCUAUGAAUUACUUACAUAUUCUUCUGAAUUAUAUGUAUCCGCGGGAUUAAUUUGGAAAACCAAUAGGAAUAUGCAAGAACAAAGAAUUUUUAUUGGAAACAUUCCUUUAAUGAAUUCCCUUGGAACUUCUAUAGUAAACGGAAUAUACCGAGUUGUGAUCAAUCAAAUAUUACAAAGUCCUGGUAUCUAUUACCAGUCAGAAUUGGAUCAUAACGGGAUUUCGGUCUAUACCGGCACCAUAAUAUCAGAUUGGGGGGGCAGGCUAGAAUUAGAGAUUGAUAAAAAAGCAAGAAUAUGGGCUCGUGUGAGUAGGAAACAGAAAAUAUCUAUUCUAGUUCUAUCAUCAGCUAUGGGUUCGAAUCUAAGAGAAAUUCUAGAGAAUGUUUGCUACCCUGAAAUUUUCUUAUCUUUCUUAACCGAUAAGGAGAAAAAAAAAAUUGGGUCAAAAGAAAAUGCUAUUUUGGAGUUUUAUCAACAAUUUUCUUGUGUAGGUGGGGAUCCAAUAUUUUCUGAAUCCUUAUGUAAGGAAUUACAAAAAAAAUUCUUUCACCAAAGGUGUGAAUUGGGGAGGAUUGGUCGCCGAAAUAUUAACUGGAGACUUAAUCUUAAUAUACCUCAGAACAAUAUAUUUUUGUUACCACGAGAUAUAUUAGCAGCUGCCGAUCAUUUGAUUGGGAUGAAAUUUGGAAUGGGUACACUUGAUGAUAUGAAUCAUUUGAAAAAUAAACGUAUUCGCUCUGUAGCGGAUCUUUUACAAGACCAGCUCGGGUUGGCUCUGGCUCGUUUAGAAAAUGUAGUUAAGGGAACUAUAGGCGGAGCAAUUAGGCAUAAAUUGAUACCUACUCCUCAGAAUUUGGUAACUUCAACUCCGUUAACAACUACUUAUGAAUCCUUUUUCGGAUUACAUCCAUUAUCUCAAGUUUUGGAUCGCACUAAUCCAUUGACACAAAUCGUUCAUGGGAGAAAGUUGAGUUAUUUGGGCCCUGGCGGAUUAACAGGGCGAACUGCUAAUUUUCGAAUACGAGAUAUCCAUCCUAGUCACUACGGGCGUAUUUGCCCCAUUGACACGUCUGAAGGAAUCAAUGUGGGACUUAUUGGAUCUUUAUCAAUUCAUGCCAGGAUUGGUGAUUGGGGGUCGUUAGAAAGUCCGUUUUAUGAACUCGUUGAGAAAUCAAAAAAGGCGCGGAUACGGAUGCUUUUUUUAUCACCAAGUCAAGAUGAAUAUUAUAUGAUAGCGGCAGGAAAUUCUUUGGCUCUUAAUCGGGGCAUUCAAGAAGAACAGGCUGUACCAGCUCGAUACCGCCAAGAAUUUUUGACUAUCGCAUGGGAAGAGGUUCAUCUUCGAAGCAUUUUUCCUUUCCAAUAUUUUUCCAUUGGAGCUUCCCUAAUUCCUUUUAUCGAACAUAAUGAUGCGAAUCGAGCUUUAAUGAGUUCUAAUAUGCAACGUCAAGCAGUUCCACUUUCUCGGUCCGAAAAGUGCAUUGUUGGAACUGGAUUGGAACGCCAAGUGGCUUUAGAUUCGGGGGUUCCCGCUAUAGCCGAACACGAGGGAAAAAUCCUUUAUACUGACACUGAGAAGAUAAUUUUAUCGGGAAAUGAGAAUACUUUAAGUAUUCCAUUAAUUAUGUAUCAACGCUCAAACAAAAAUACUUGUAUGCAUCAAAAACCUCAGGUUCGCCGGGGUAAAUGUAUUAAAAAGGGACAGAUUUUAGCAGAUGGUGCUGCUACAGUUGGUGGGGAACUCGCCUUGGGGAAAAAUAUAUUAGUGGCUUAUAUGCCAUGGGAAGGAUACAAUUUUGAAGAUGCGGUACUCAUUAGUGAGUGUCUAGUAUAUGGUGAUAUUUAUACUUCUUUCCACAUACGGAAAUAUGAAAUUCAGACGCAUGUGACAACCCAAGGUCCUGAAAGGAUCACUAAGGAAAUACCGCAUCUAGAGGGCCGUUUACUCCGAAAUUUAGACAAAAAUGGAAUUGUGAUGCUAGGAUCGUGGGUUGAAACGGGUGAUAUUUUAGUAGGUAAAUUAACGCCUCAGAUGGCGAAAGAAUCCUCGUAUGCUCCGGAAGAUAGAUUAUUACGGGCCAUACUUGGCAUUCAGGUAUCGACUUCAAAAGAAACUUGUUUAAAAUUGCCCAUAGGUGGUAGAGGUCGAGUUAUUGAUGUGAGAUGGGUUCAGAAAAAGGGGGGUUCAAGUUAUAACCCCGAAAUAAUUCGUGUAUAUAUUUCACAGAAACGUGAAAUCAAAGUAGGUGAUAAAGUAGCCGGAAGACAUGGAAAUAAAGGUAUCAUUUCCAAAAUUUUGCCUAGACAGGAUAUGCCUUAUUUGCAAGACGGGAGACCCGUGGAUAUGGUCUUCAACCCAUUAGGAGUACCCUCACGCAUGAAUGUAGGACAGAUAUUUGAAUGCUCGCUUGGGUUAGCGGGAAGUUUGCUAGAUAGACAUUAUCGAAUAGCCCCUUUUGAUGAGAGAUAUGAACAAGAGGCUUCGAGAAAACUCGUAUUUUCUGAAUUAUAUGAAGCUAGUAAGCAAACAGCCAAUCCAUGGGUAUUUGAACCCGAGUAUCCAGGAAAAAGCCGCAUUUUUGAUGGAAGAACGGGAGAUCCUUUUGAACAGCCUGUGAUAAUAGGAAAGCCCUAUAUCUUGAAAUUAAUUCAUCAGGUUGAUGAUAAAAUACACGGACGUUCUAGUGGACAUUAUGCACUUGUUACACAACAACCCCUUAGAGGCCGUUCUAAGCAGGGGGGGCAGCGGGUAGGCGAAAUGGAGGUUUGGGCUCUAGAGGGGUUUGGUGUUGCUCAUAUUUUACAAGAGAUGCUUACUUAUAAAUCUGAUCAUAUUAGAGCUCGCCAAGAAGUACUUGGUACCACUAUCAUUGGAGGAACAAUACCUAAACCAGAAGAUGCUCCAGAAUCUUUUCGAUUACUUGUUCGAGAACUACGAUCUUUGGCUCUGGAACUGAAUCAUUUCCUUGUAUCUGAGAAGAAUUUCCAGAUUAAUAGGAAGGAAGUUUAAUCGGAAUGAAUCACAAAAUUUCUUAUAUGAUCGAUCGGUAUAAACAUCAACAACUCCGAAUUGGAUUAGUUUCUCCUCAGCAAAUAAGUGCUUGGGCCACUAAAAAAAUACCUAAUGGAGAGAUAGUUGGAGAGGUGACAAAACCCUAUACUUUUCAUUACAAAACCAAUAAACCGGAAAAAGAUGGAUUAUUUUGUGAAAGGAUUUUUGGGCCUAUAAAGAGUGGAAUUUGCGCUUGUGGAAAUUAUCGAGUGAUCGGAGAUGAAAAAGAAGACUCGCAAUUUUGUGAACAAUGUGGAGUUGAAUUUGUUGAUUCUCGGAUACGAAGAUAUCAAAUGGGAUACAUAAAACUGACAUGUCCUGUAACUCAUGUAUGGUAUUUGAAACGUCUUCCUAGUUAUAUUGCGAAUCUUUUAGAUAAACCUCUUAAAGAAUUAGAAGGUCUAGUAUACUGCGAUGUGUGAUUUGAUCGAAAUUUUUAUUUUUAAGAAUGAUAAACUCUCAUCCCCUUCAAUCAAUUUGGGAUGCCCUCGAUCUGACAUGUCUCUUGAAAAGAGUAACAUGAAGCUCAGACUUGUGGGUGUAUUCAAUACUCCCAAAUAACAAGGGCGAUUGGUCUAUGGUCGAUUCAGUAAAAAAAAAGUACUUCAAAUUGAUAGUCGUACCUCGUGAAAAGAAGACCUUUUUUUUGUCGAAUUAAGCAUUCCCUUAUCUUUCUAAACGAAAAGAAAUUUGGUUUUUUAUAUUGAAGUAAACAAAUAUGUCAUGGUUGGAGAAGUCUAUACAUCGCAUAUAAGCUUUAAGAAUAUUGUGGCAUAACCAUCGAGGUAACGCAGGACCUAAAAGAUCGAAUGGAACAAUACAUAGACAAAUAAAUCCCGUAUGAAUUCUAAGGCAUUCCUUUCACUUAAGGUAAAAAGUAUUCCGGCAUUCGAAGGGAAGUAGACUACUCAAGAAUUUGACAUUUUUUUCUGUCGUAAUUUUGAAUUCACUAAAGAAUCUAAAUAGAAAUCAAAGAAGAAUUAAUUGAAUCAAUGAAAUGGUGGUUGGUUUGCACUGAGAACUUGAGUAAGGCGUAGAUUCUUUUUGGGUUUUCACUUGAUUUUAUAAAAUACAAUUGGAAAGUGCGACCCCUUUCUUUAUCUUUAUUUGAUAUAACUACUUGAGCCGGAUGAGAGGAAACUUUCAUGUCCGGUUUUGAAUCCUGCGGCGUUUGAGGAUGGUGUCAAGGUGCUGCAUUGGCUUGGGAAGCAGGCUAACUUGGCUGAUUGUUGUAAGUCUUUGGGGAAUAAUAAUAGACGUGUGAAUGGCGUUGAGUUGAAGAAAGUGAAUGUUCAGGGGCAUAUUGUUGAUGCUUUUGGUGCUUCUAUGGUUGAGCCUUGGCUCGCUGCUCACGCCGAUCCUUCCAGGUUUGUGAUCGUUACAGCGAUAUUGAUUUCUGGAAUGUAGACAUGUUUAGCAAGAUUAGAUCUUUAGAAUAGUUUUUGAGAUUAUCUAUGGAUAGCUAGGAACAAAUUGUUAGGUGGACUUAGAUAAGCUGAUCUUCCAUUGGUUGGAAUCUCACAUCAAGAGCUGUUUGUCACUUUAUGGUUUUAAAACAGAUGUGUUGCUGUGAGUAUCUUUCUUUUCACAAGUUUGUGUUUGCUUAAAGACAAACAACGUAUAAAAAUUUAAGAGGUAUUAGUUAGAGACAGCUAAAGUAAAGCUGUAAUGGACCAUAGAGUGAGUUGCUCUCAAGGUUUUAGAUAAUGUCCACUUCAAAUAUUUGGACUUUGAUGUGUUCAUGGAACGUUUAUGUUAACUGACCUAAGAACACGCUUUGGUUUAGAUUGUUUCAGCUAUUUGAUAUUUUGUUUGCAGAAAUUGAUUUAUGGAAUUUAGACACAUUUCCGCAGAUUAGAUCUUUAGAAUAGUUUUAACUUUUGAGGUUAUAACUAUUUAGUUAGAUGCACUUAGAUAAGCUGAUCUUCAAUUGCUUGCAAUUUCACAUCAAGAGCUGUUUCUCAACUUGUUGCAUUUUUUUUACUAUUAACACAGAUGUGUUCUCCUGGGGGUGAGCUGUGGUGGGAACAUAGCAGACUAUGUAGCACGGAAAGCAGUAGAAGCUGGGAAACUUCUAGAUCCCGUUAAAGUUGUUGCACAGGUUCUAAUGUACCCAUUUUUCAUCGGAAACAACCCAACACAAUCCGAAAUAAAGCUGGCAAACUCCUACUUCUACGACAAGCCCGUCUCCGUCCUCGCCUGGAAACUCUUCUUACCAGAGAAAGAGUUCGACUUUGACCACCCGGCAGCAAACCCACUAGCCCAUAACCGCAGCGGACCGCCUCUGAAGCUAAUGCCGCCAACUCUCACAGUAGUGGCUGAACACGACUGGAUGAGAGAUCGAGCCAUUGCUUACGCAGAGGAGCUUAGAAAGGUAAACGUAGAUUCACCAGUUUUAGAAUACAAAGACGCGGUUCAUGAGUUUGCAACGCUAGAUAUGCUUCUCAAGACUCCUCAGGCGCAGGCCUGCGCCGAAGAUAUUGCUAUAUGGGUCAAGAAAUAUAUUUCUCUCCGAGGCCAUGAGUUCUCUUACUGAGAUUAUAUAUCCUGUUAUUAUAUUAUCAUUCAUUCUCUUCCUUUUUUUGUAUGUAGAAAGAUUUUGUGAAUAGGAUUACGGACGACUUAAGAUUAUGAGUCUUCUUUUGCAAAAUAUCAUCAAUUUUUUUAUUUCUUGGGGGUGUUCUAUGAUGUAGUCAUUAUGUACGUAUUCUGAAUAAACCAUUUUUGUUCUUGAUUUGACAUCAUCUUGGAGAUUAGAAACACUUGAAUCCACUGAACCAUUCUUGAACGCUGAAAGCUUCCACUUUCUCUGGAACUUAAAGAUCAUGACUCAUGAAAGAUAUGUAACAAUAAUAAUAAGCCGGAAGAUAAUAUGGAAAGGGCUCAAUUCGAGCCAGGUCUCAGUGAUUACAAAUUACAUUUCAAGCAGAGAAACUAGAAGGACAUGAAGAUCAGAUGGGUUGGUUACUUGGAAACUUUCUUCUUGCCAGCAAUAGCAAUUUUCUUGCCUUUAAGAGUUCUGCAGUUGUUCUUGGUUCUCUGUCCACGACAUGGCAGGCCUUGGAUGUGCCUUACACCACGGUAACACUGUAUCUCCUUCAAUCUUUUGAUAGCAAGAGCAUUGAACCUCCUCUGCACAAAACACAAAGUAAAAACAAUCUCACAGUUCAGUCUAAAGUAAUUUUCUUAUCUCUAAAGAGACAAACCAUUUAUUAUGAACAUAUUACAAAAAAAAAGCUUUAGGAGAAAAGAGUGAAUGUACCAGAUCACCCUCGAUCAUAUACUUGGAGACUUCAUCACGAAGAACGAUGAGCUCUUCCUCAGCCAUGUCUUUAGUAAUCUUGUUCUCCAUCUGAAGAUCAACGAGUAUCUGACGAGCUCUGGUUCGACCAAUCCCAUGAAUGUACUGAAGAGAGUACUCAAUCCUCUUGUUACUCGGAAUCUCCACACCUCCAACACGAGCACAUCUGAUGCUCAGACUCUGCUUCUGCAAUUCCGACACAAAGGAAUCAAAGUUGAGAACUUCUCAAUCACAACAAUCAUUCAUACGCGAGAGAGAGAGAGAGAGAGAAAGAGAGAGUCUUUUGAGAAAUUAUUACAUUGGGAGCGUUUGAAGCUGGGAGAGCAACAGUGUUGCGAGUGAGAGGAUUGGGUUUUGUCCAGUUGCAAAUGAGGGAGAGCGAGUGCGCUACGGGCAUCGCAACCAUCUGCGCCAUUGUUCUAUCUAUCCUCUUCCUUUGGAUUUUUGAAACUUCAGAGGCGAGGAAGAAGAUGAUGAGCUGAACGGAUAAGGCAAACGUCGUAUCAAAAUAAAUACUUAUUGGGCCUAGCCCAUUAUUAUUUUAUCGAAAGGCCUGGAAUGAUGAAUUAAUCCCCUUUUAAUACACAAAUAUUUUCUUUUUCAGUCCCCAAUUUCAAUAUUUAUUCAAUUAUCUCUCUGUAUUUUUAAAUGAGGGGAAGGAGGGUACAAUACUAGAAAGAGUCGGAGAUAGAGAGAUUGAAUGUAUAAAAGAAUGGUUAGUGGACUAACACAAAGUCUACCUAGAAAAAAAACAGGCAUGAAUACACACCCUUUACUUUGUUGAGUCAUCAUGCCCAUAAUUACUUUUACUAUUUAUUCAGUUAUCUAUGUCUUUUGAGUGAGUAUAAGGCUACAACAUCAAUUAAAAUUGGAGAGAGAGAGAGAGAGAGAGAGAAUAAUAAUGGAGUAGUGGAUGCAUGCAAAGUCAAUGGAGAAGAAUGAGUCUUGUUAACUAUUGAGAUGGACGGUUAUCUAUAGAAACGAAACACUACUAAGAUGGUCGUUAACGUUUACAUGUUGUUCUACUGAAAUUUAAGUUGUCUUGCUUUUGUUCAUUUUGCUCAUUUGAUUCAGUGGAGUUUGUACUUAUGAUUUUGGCUGCAAAUUCAGCUUUCUGGUGUGUAUUUUUUCUUAUCUUGCUUCGUGGUGCUUGGAGAUAUUAUCCAUAAAACUAUAUAAAAAGCUUGUCACUGUUUUAGUAGCCGAAGUAGAGAUACUCAUUGCUUACAAAACCAAUGUCCGAUAUGCACUUUUCAGAUUAUCACAAACACGUAACACACAGACAUCUGAAUAUUUUGUAGAAAACAUGCCCAUUAUUGUAAAUUUGUAACGUCCUAACUCCUAAGGCUUGCAACUCGUUAUUCUGUUUAGAAAGCUGAUUUUCAUCUUUAUAUUGGAUAAAUUUUUUUUACUUAAAUGAAUGCAAGGCUAUAGAAUUAAUUAAAAGCAAUUAAAUAGUCCAAGGUAACAUGCCAGUGAACGUCUUUAUAAAGAAAAAUAUGAAAUAAAACAAGUCUGAACGAUCCAUUAUGAAUUUAUAAUGCAUUAAUUUGUCAGAAGAAGAUCUGGUAUAUAUAAAGAGAUGAAUAUGAUAAAACAUAAAAUGAUAGAUGUUUUAUAGAUAUUAAUUAUUGUGAUAAACACAGAACAUCACAAACUUUUUGUUUUGGUUAAUGACCAAACAAAAACAAGGAAGACAUUAAAAUGUAAAAGUAAUUAACAACUCAGAAGGCAAACACUCGGAAGAUGAUGGGAAACACAUCUUAGAAAACGAAAGACAAGGCACCGACCAACGCGGUGGCAAUGAGCUGAGGAUAUGCGGAGAAAGUGGCAGCACUUGGAGCCGGAGCACCUGGAGCCAUAGCGGGAGCCUUAGCUGGACCAUGGUGGUGCCCGGCGUGUGACUCGGCAGUCAUGACCAAUACGGCCAAGACAAUGCAGACGAAGGCAAAGCGGAUCAAUGAACUUCUUGCUGCCAUUUGAAUUCUUCUUUCUCCUUCCUCGUCGUCUGUGAUGACUUUCUUUGCUGUUCUCUGUGGGAUCUAUCAAUAAAGGGGACUCAAUUUAUAGAGAGUGAAUGGUUGUAUAAAAAUGGUUAGUAUAUUUAAAAGUCAACGCCUAAGAGCGAGUCUUGGUAUCGAAAUGAUCAUUAAGUCGUUAUCAUUACAUGUUAAUCGCUUAGACAUUUAAAAAAAAAAAUGAAAGGACAGAAAGGUGAACGUGGUGAUCUGUCUGAAUUUGUUAGUGGCAUCCAUUUACAUGUAAUAUGUUGGUUCAUGUUCUGGAACAUGUAUUUUACUUGUUCGUCAUAUAACGAGGAACGUGUCUUGACUAAACCAAAUAGUUUCGGAUUGAUUAGGGAUCGAUUCUAGCUCAGGUUUUGUUAAACUGCUACCAAACCAAAUAGCAAUUGCGGUAAUGCACAUUCUAUGAGGCCGGUCUGCUUUUUUUGGCUAGUGGUGUGGUAUAAAAUGGAAUUGAUGGAAUAAAAAUGAAUGAAACAUCCUGAAAGUGGAAUAUAUUCAUUCUAUUCAUUUUUUAUAGAUUUUUUUGGUAUUUUUUUAUAUAUUUAAAAUUAUAAAAAUGUCUAUGAGUGUUUUUUUUAUAUUUUGUAGAAUUGAUGGAAUGAUAAAAAAGAAUAUAGAAUAAACCAUUCCAAAAGCUUUUACCCCACAUAUUUACAAUCCAGUUGCAGCCAAUAUAUAAUAUUGGUUUAGUUCAGUUUCAUGGCUUUGAUUACCAAUUUCCAAGUUCUGGCAACAAGUUUGAUAGCAAACAAGUUAGUGAAGAUACAGGAUUAGGUUGGAACUAAUGGGCUACAAACGUAAAUUUGUUUAUUAGUGGGCUUAAAGUUGAUGACUUUUUGAUUUGGUCUCUCGUAUUAAUACUUUUCUGACCCAUCUCUCGUAUACUUUUUAGCUUAACGGUCCCUCACGUAUUUAAUACUCUAUAUUAGUCUAAAAUGUAGUUCAGUUCAGUGAACCGAAACAAAAUCGAAUAUUUGGUUAGCUACAAUCUUGUUUUCGUCAAGAUUAUGAUGCACCUCGCAAAUGAUAAUGCGAGUAAUUAAAAUAUAGUUAUUCUGUUGACUAAGGCCGUAUAAAGUCACAUAGCAGUAGUGUAAUACAUAAUACAAACAGUAGAAUAUAGUUUGAUGCAAAAUGAAUGUUCACAUACCAUUAUGAGGUAUACGGGAUUAAGUAUUUGAUAAAGGAAAUAAGAAUAAUAAAAUUUAGAUACAUAUGAUCGUUUUUCUCUUUUAAAAUCAUUUGGGUUGGUAGUUCACGAUUAAAUAGUAGAUUAUGACAUAUAGCCUAAUAACCUUCACAAUUGUUUUACAACAUAUGCUUAGAUAGAUUUCUAUUUAUUUGAUAUAUGCAUAUACCUUAGAGUACUUCGAGAAUAUUCCUUCGUGCAUGAACCCGAAACCCCUCCAAUUUUAGUAUUUUUAAUGCAAUUGUGGAUUUAUUUCAGUACGACUGAACAUACCAGUUCUGUAUAAACUAUGAAAUGAAAAUAUUACUUAGAUUAAUAGCUAUUGCAAACUAGUUUAUGGUGAUACAUUGAUAUUGUGCUUGAAGCUUUACCUUGAUGACUAAAGUAUUUGCACUACAUUUUCAGUCACUAGUGUAUACAUCUUAAAUAGUAACAAUAUCUGUUUUUUUUUUUAAGUUUCGAGGUAUAGUAUAAUUUUGACCCAAACUAUUUUUUAUUAAAAACAUUUGUUCCAACCAGUGUAGCUUAAUUAAUAACAUCUAAUAUUGCAAACAUGUAAUAUUAGAUGAUGACAUAAAACAAUAAUCUUAAACUGUUUUCUUUUAAUCAUGAAUUGUGGAUUUAUUUCAGUACGACUGAACAUACCAGUUCUACUUUUCUUAAUUGAGAGCGUUAAACUUAUAGUAACUAGUAAAUUUAUCUUAGCAAACGAAUAGAAAUAUUGACAUUCUAUAUUAAGCAAGUUGCCUAAUCGUGAAUUGCAAACUUAACAAAUGAUGACGUAAUAAGUGGAGUCAUCAAAUGUUCACAACAACUAUUCAAAAUGUUUACAGAAAAUAGUUGAAAAAUAAAAGAUGCCUUGAUGACAGAAUAAGCACAACGUCCUGGAGGAGGGGACCGAUAGAUCAAAACAAAUCUUAAACUGUUUUCUUUUAAUCAAACUUUUAACAAAACAAUAAUCAGUUAAUUCAUAGUAACCAAUUAAAGUAAACAAACCAUUUAUAUAUCAUCAACUCAACAAUAAGAAUUUUUUAUUACAAUAAAGCAAACAAAUUAAUAACUUGCAAUGGCUAUAUACUACUACAACAUAUUGAUGCAAGAAUUUAUUUAUAAAGUAAAAAAAAAUUACUUAUACGCAUUCAGUUUAAGUAUUGCUUUACCGCAGCCUUUGAUAACUAAUUGAUUAUAAGCUAAAUUUGUCGACUAGUUCAUAAUACUUUAAAACAACCUCACACACUUCUCACUAAAUCUUUGUUUAAGCGUCUCCGUAAUCAUUGUUUACUGCUUCACUUAUUAGUGUUUUGCAUUAAUUUUGGAUUUAUUUGUCUUUUACGUUGUAAGUGACCUGUCAAAAGAGAGAAUCUUUUCCUACCCAACUCACCUCUUAUUAUUUAUAGGUAUUGCCCAUGACCUGAUUCAAAGCUCUCUUCUUUAUAUUUUCUGGCUAACACAUCAAGCUCUCUCGCUUUGCUUUAUAUUAGCAUUAUAGCUAUAUGCAUUACAUUUGAUAAAUGUCAUUAUAGAGCUUGCUUUUUAGUAAAAGAAAAAGCCAAUGGGGAGGAGACCUUGCUGUGAGAAAAUUGGAUUGAAGAGAGGACCAUGGACUAUAGAAGAAGAUCAUAGACUCAUGAACUUCAUUCUUAACAAUGGCAUCCACUGCUGGAGAAUUGUCCCCAAACUCGCAGGUACUUGUCUGCUUAUACCUUCAGAUAUAUGUAUAUAUUUAUGCUUAUUUAAGCAUCCAUAAUUAGGCUUAUUUCUUAUGUUAUUUGUGUUUGUUUAAAUGUUUACGUGUGCAUGAAGGUUUGUUGAGAUGUGGUAAGAGCUGUAGACUGAGAUGGAUUAAUUAUCUGAGACCGGAUCUCAAGAGAGGUGGGUUUACUGAUGCUGAAGAAGAACGUAUUAUGGAACUUCACUCUCAACUUGGCAACCGGUAUACGAUCAUUUCAUUUUUAUAAUAUAUUACCGCUACUCUAUAUCAUAAAUUAUGAGAUAAACCUGAGCUUGACGCAUAUACUUCUGCAUGGACUUAUAAAUAUAAAAAACUUCUGCAUGGUAAGUUGAUUUUUUUGGGGUAAAAUGGUAAGUUGAUUUGGAGACGUAAUAUAAAGUGUGUGAUAUAAUCACGUUAUAUGCUGAACCCUUUAAUCACGCCUUCAACUUAUUACAUGUUUAAUGAAUGUUUUGGACGUUGCAGGUGGUCUAAAAUUGCCUCUCAUUUCCCUGGUAGAACGGAUAACGAGAUAAAAAACCAUUGGAACACGAAGAUCAAGAAGAAGAUGAAACAUCUUGGUUUAGAUCCGACUACGCACGAACCAAUGAAUAAUAUUACCGACCAACCCGAAUCUAACAAGAUAACAAAACCAAACAUGUGUUCUACCAUCAAGGAAGGAGAAGAAACCAAAGAACAGACUCUCAAAGAUGAAGUAGACAUCGGAUCUCUAUUCGAAAUGCAAGGCAACGAGAUAUCUAUCUCGUCUUCUUCUUUAUAUAGUAAUAUUUCAAGAAGCGAAUCUUCAUCAAAUUUUGCAGAAGAUUCGAUCUCUUUAGAGCAAUGGGAAUUGACCUAUAUGACAGAUCCUUUGGUACCAUGGGACUUCUUCACCAAUCUUGAUGAUAAUAUUUUCCUUUAAUGACAGAAUGUGAUAUAACAUUGUAAUAUAUCUGAAUAUAUCUAUAAAUAUAUAAAUAAUCUUAAGUAAUUUGUAGCUUAGUUUCAUGUAUGUACGUAAGAUGUGGAUUAUGCAUGGCGGCCGCGCGAUGAUGUAUAUUUUCUCAUACAAGAUGUAUGCAUAUAUAUAUUUCUCAAAGUUCAAACUAUAUAUGGAGACGUAUAGAAACCAGUACUGAUAGAUACUGUAAAAUUCUUGGAAGAAAACGGGUUAACAUAUACCGCAAAUCAAUUCUACAUGUGCAACACAAUAAGUUUUGGAUUAAUUAAUAGUAUAUAUGACAUUAUGCUGUCAAAGUGUUAUUUAUAGUUAGGUGAAUUAGGUCAAUGCGGCCUUUCAUGAAAUGAAAUAGACAUAUAUUAUAUCUAUAAAGAAAACAUAUGAAAAUUGACCCGUUUCAAAUUAACAAUGAGUUCCCAAAUAAAAUGAACCUACCUCUACUUUCACAAAAAUAAAAUAAAAACUAUACCAACUUCAUUCGAAAGCAUGCAUUUGAUUUUAUUUUUCUUUUUGAAUAAAAAACAAAAACAACUAAAGUAAUCACUUCUUCCAAAAUUUCGAGAACUAUUAUAAUUUUUCUUAAGAAGAUUUGAUUUGAUCGUUCCGACAUAAAUUAAGUUGAAACAUAAUAUUAAAAUCACGGUGACUGUAGUUGUUGGGAUAAAAGAGAGUGACGACAAUGUUGCUUCCGUCAAGUGUUUGGAGUUUUGCAAUCAUUGUAUUAAUUCUUAUAAUUAUAUUACCAGUUGUCUUACAAAACCUCGAGUGCGAUAAAUUUAUCUUAAUUCCAUCUAUAAACUAAUAAAUAUUUUUUUAUAUCAAUAUACUGUUAUAUACUUAUAUUCAAAUUACAUUGUUAUAAAGAAUUAGUUACUGUAUAAGAAAGAACUCACUAUGUAAUGUAAUCAAGGGCAGAAAGCAGUUGAACACUGUCAAAUUUGAAAAACGGCCACGCCAAAGGUCUUUCCAAAAAAAACUUGAAAACACAGCAUCUUCAAUUCCAAACACCACAUUAUAUUGACCACACCAAAGUGGAAAGCGAAGUUGAAAGCGAAGUUGGAAGCUAAGUAGACUAAUAGAGGAGCCUUUCUUAUUAUUGCCAAGAGUGCAACUCUUGAUCAGUUUGGUCAAUCUUAUGUUGUUGUGGGAUCCCCUCUUUGGUUAUUUGAUUAUUUUUUGCUAAUGAGAAAGGCUAGUCCUCUAUCUAUGUCUCCUUUUAAAUUUUUUGAUUGGUUUCCUUCAUGAUGGUACCAUUGUGGCUCUAUGAACACCUUUUGUACUUGUAAAUUUUCUUGUGCUAAUAUAUUUAUUUUGAGGGAAAGAAAAAAGACAGAACUCACUAAUGUAUAGUAUUAAUCAAAAGCCGGUUGAAGCCUGGUUCAAAUUCGGUUUACAGUUAACCAACUCAAAUACUUGAACUUAACGGUGUAUUCAAGUACUGUGGCUCUCCGCUGUUGCACAAAUGUUCGUUACAUCAUCUUGUCUCGUGUACAAUGUUCGUUACAUCAAUUUAACAUAAAACCAGUUUCAUCAUCUUCUCUCGACUCUAACGUAAACACUGCUUAACCUCUCUUCUCUUUAUCUGGUCUCGGACCCAACAGAUUAACAUCAAUACUCGCUCCAUAACUCUCAGCAGCUCUAACAACCGCAUCAUACGGCUUAGCAGACAGCUUAAGCCCUUCACCUUGAGCCUUCAAAUGCAACUCAUAAGCAAGCCUCGGCUUCCCAUCAUCAGCAAGCGCCUCAAUCAACACCUCAUAAGUAAUCUCAUUAGCCUCAACUUUCUCUCCUCUCAUCCGCCCAAACCACUCGUAAGCCUCACCGCUCAGCCCGUUCCUCGCACAAACACUUAUCACCGCGUUGUACGUCACAACGCUAGGCUCAACACCCUUGGAAGCCAUUUCUUUAAAAAGCGUAUCCAACAGAUUGAACUUCCCCUGCCCCGUCAGCACAGAAGCCAUGAUGGUGUAAGCGUGAAGAUUAGGCUCGAUCCCAACCUUAAUCAUAUGGUUCCAAACCUUAAACGCUUCAUCAUACAGCUUCCCUUUCUCAAGCGCACUAAGGAGAGCACCGUAAGAUAUAACCGUCGGCUUCUCCCCGUUCUCAACCAUAGCUUUAAAGAUCUGUAUAGCCGCCGCGGUCUCUGAGGCUUUUGAACACGCUACAAGAACAGCGUUCCAGUGCCUGCUCUGCGGUUUUAUUCCUUUAUCUUCCAUUUUGUUAAGCAGCUUAACACCCCACCUCCAUAUCCCUCUCUUGCUAGCUGCCCCCAGCAAGAUGCUGAAGUGAGAAACCACCAGCUCGUAAGACAAGUUGUUAGGCUCAGGUCCUUCUUCCAAAAGAUCCUCGUAAAUCUCCAGCGCCGCCCACCAUCUCUUGGCCUUCCCCAUCAGCCAGAUCAAGUGGUUGCAGACGGAUAAGCUUAUCUCAUCAUCAGGGAACCUCUCUCUAACUCUUUUGUAGAGCUCCUUUCCAACCACGUGGUGGUGGUCUCCUCUUGUGCACGCCCAUAUAAGCCUCUCGUGCUCUUCCUUGCUCGGUUUCACACCUGCAUUGUCCAUUUCGUUCAGAAGUUUUAGUACUUUGGUGGUUAAGUUCUCGUCUCUCACCAGCCAGCGUCUCAUCACUUGGUAGCAGAUUCUUCCUACGAAGUUUUCAAGCUUGAUAAACUCAAACUCCCAGUCAUGUUCAGCGUCGUUACCUAUCUCUCUCUUAGAGUAUCUCUCUCUUAGUUCACUAAAGAACUCGAGCGCUCCCAUUCCAUCUUCCAUUCUUCUGUACACCAGCAAGGCCGUUGAGUAUGUUACAGGAGAAGGCGCAAAGCCUUUCUCCUCGAUUAAAUCAAGAACCUCGAGGGCUUUGCGAAACUCUCCUUGCUCCAUGUAAAUAGCCAUCAGAGUGUUGUAAGUGACGACGUUUGGAGCAAUGCCUUCUUCCUCCAUUUCCCUCAGUAUCUUCUCCGUUUCACGAAACCCAUUAGACUCUUUCACCGCUCCCAAGAGACUGUUGUAUAUGAAGAGGUUUGGACCUCUCUUCUUCCUCUUGAGCCAGUCUACUACAGCCAUUGCUGGCGUUAGUCUCUUGUCCUUGCCGAAGCCUCUUAUCAUAGCGCAGUAGACUUGAAGUGGCAACUCUCCUUUCUCCUUGAGAACAACGUCUACAUCAUCAGCAGUCUUGGCAGCUCGUAGACUAUACGCUAGCUCUCUUACGUUAACUCUUGAAUUGGUUUUGUCCCUGGAGGCUUCUUCCUCUUCUCGUUGCUCCGUGGCCCAUCCUACUCCAACGGAUGAUCUCAACAAACUUCUCUUUGGCUCACACAGAAACACAACCUUUGAGGUAUGGCUGAUACUACUACCAAAGUUACAAUGUCUCUUUCUAAUCUUACGGCUAACUACGAAACAAGAACAAUCCAACUCAGAUUCCAAUCUUGAUCCAACCAAAAGACCAAACUUUAAUGGCCAAACGCUUAAAGCUUGCAUCUUUCACCAGCUAAAUCAACCAAUAAUAACCCAUGAACUUAAACUCCUCAAGGUCGCACCUUUGCCAACACAGAUGCUUACGCGUUUCAUGCAACAAUCAGCAAAACAAGAUGACCCUUAACAGAGAUGAAUCUUUGUAUGAGAAACAGAUAGGUGAAUAUCAAACACGACCAAUCAUGAUACUAUCGCUCGAUAUAUAUUCAUGCCAGUGCUUCUCAAUGAAGCAUUUCGAAAAGUCAGACGCAGCCACACCAGAGAGAUGGUUUAGUGUCUCUCUUGGUUUAGUGAUGGUGUGGUGCGCUUGUGGCCAUUCAAUUUUCUGUGAGCGGGUAAGCUUCAACUGCUGCAAGAAAGAAUCAUCUCAACGGUGUCGUUUCAAACUAUUUGUUUUCAUUUAAGUCCAUAACUUGACCCAACAAUAUGUUUUGGGCCUUUAGAAACAAAACUUUUAAUCUACACCUUCACGGUUAUAAUCUAUUUUUUCUUUUUAAUUAAGAACUUGCUGCCAUUUAUGCAUUUGUCUUUUUCCAUUUUUUACGUCCGAUGAUUCGAUGGUGUUGUUUUCGAAAAUUUUAAUCGUUAAAAGUAUAAUAGAUACAAUGUUAUUAGAAUCCCACAUCGUGUGGGAUGAUGGUCCUUGGGCAAUAUAUAAGUGUAUGGGUAAACCUCCACUCUUGAGCUCGCUUUUGGGUGUGAGUUAGGCCCAUCACUAAUAUAGUAUCAGAGCCAGGUUUCGAAAGCUGUAGCCGCCAGAGCUGUGAAAGUUGAGGUUUCGGAGGGGGAAGCUGACGGUGGGGUGAAGGGAAAGGUGACUGACCCGUUCGGUUUCAGCUGGAUCUUUGUUACUCCGGUGGAGAAGAGUGACAAGGAAGAAAACAAAGAGGUGGUCUAACUGUCGUCGUCGUCGGAUCUGAUCGUUCGUCGGUUUCUGAACAAACCUUCUAUUAUCCUUUUUUUAUGCUUUUGUAGUUUGUCUUUUGUGGAAUCUCCGGUAUCAGUAAACCGGGUCCAAUCGGAAACAGCCCAAGUCCAACAUCUCGGACAUACCACAGCAAGAUGGGCCAUUUGUACAGGCUACAUAAGUAGGAAACUGUUUAUAUGGGAAAUCAUCUGCUGGGCUUUUACCAUGGGCUCUGAUACCAUAUUAGUGAUGGGCCUAACUCACACCCAAAAGCUAGCUCAAGAGUGGAGGUUUACCCAUACACUUAUAUAUUGCCCAAGGACCAUCAUCCCACACUUAUAUAUUUAUCUAAUAUAUGUGCAUACGCAUGUGUUAGUUUUGAUUUUAAAAGUUUAGUCAUUAAUUUUGUGAAUUUGAUAACUAGACGACUGAUUUUAAAGUGGGUUUCUUACAUAUAAGCAGAAAUAGAAUUAGAAGUUCCAUAUGAGUACUUGACACAAUUGCAUUGAAGACCAUACUUAACGGUUGGGUACAAAGGAUAUAUGUUCCUUCGUAAAAAUCCAAUAAACAAGUCUGGCCCAUGCACAUAGACAUGUAAAUAAUACAAGUAUAAACUUUCACAGACACAUUAUUGUGUGCGUAGAUAAAUAUUCAAAUUAUAUUAUGUAUAUGCAUUAUAUUUUUAGUGUAUUAUAUAUGGACAACCAUGUUGGUGGGUCGAGAAAUAUAAAUGUGGAUUCACCAUAUCUCAGAUACCGUCUUCUAGCUACUACAACAUGUUGAUGUGUCAUAUCACCUUGUCCAUUAAUAAUCAAAUAGUACAUGGUUUUGAUUUCAUACAUGUGCCUGCAUGGUUUACGUUGAAGAUCCAUAAUAUGAUCGGAGAUUAAUCUAACGUAACAUACAACGAGACGAGCACUAAUCUGGUGGCUAAGACAACCUAAAACAAAUAGGGUCAAGAACUCGAUGGACAAUGUAAAAACUAUAACACCGAAUACAAAACUUGUUAAAGUUAAUUAGAACUUUAGCGCUACAAAAUGAUUUACAAUUGUUGGGAAUGCAAUAGAAAGAUUGAUAUUCUACUAAUAACUUCUACAUGAUCAGAUUUGGCAAAUCUUAUGUAAUUAUAAGCUGAGUUGUUUGAUCUCUUACAUAUAGGAAUUAUAUCUUGUCGAAGAUUUUAUUUUAGAUUCAUCAUAUUUACAUACAAGAUCACUAUGAUAGUUUCUUAUACUUUAUAACUCUGAGUUAAUCAGUAAGCUAUAUUUUAUAAAUUGUGAAUUUGUCGUUAUUUCAAAAGUUUUCAUGCAUUAUUAAUUUUCCAAAUUGGUCCUACCACAUGGCGAUGUUUACACCAAGAUUCAAGUUUACCCGAGAAUCUUAAUCACCUUGAUUGGCACUACAGAACAAGUUAAACUACUGUCCGUUUUACUUGAUUUUUUUUUUUAAACACUUUCAUUCAUAAUCAGGGAUGGACCCAUAUACAAAAGGAGUAAUUAAAGGAGCAUCUAAGCAAACCAAAUUGACAAGCUAGACUAAGGAAAUUUUACGAAAAAACUUCUUAAGCCAGCCAGGGAACCCUGAUGCAAUGUAGGAAUGGAACAGAUCCUCCUUUAUGACACUAUUUGCUAUAAGAAAGACUGGUUUGAGGGCUUGACGAGAUUGUGAUUCCACCUGCCAAAACAAAAAUUCAUGGAGCAUUUCGAUAAGCUUAAAGGAAAAAGCUUUUAGAGAUGGCCAUGUAGCAGGUUUUGAAAUAGCAUUAACAAUGUCUCUGUCUUCAGCCGAGAAGAUAACGUGAUCAAAGUGGAGAGACUUCAUACUUUCUAAAGCCCAAAGCCAGCUUUGAAAAGAGGAUUCUGAUUUACUGCGAAUGUUUGAGAAGGAUCUUCUACCGUGCAGUAAAACUUUCCCUUCAGCAUUCCUAAGUAUCCAUGCCGCACCACUUUCCUUCCUAUUUUUGUCCCAAUCGAAGCCAAUGUCACAUUUGAACCAUGAUGAAGGAGGGGGUUUCCAUCCAAAGAUGAUCCUUUUUUUCUUCUCAAGAUCAAUGGCUUGUUCUUGUUUUUCCAUUUCUUUGAUUAGGAACCAAUGAUCAGCCUCCUGUAAUAACGAUGUUGCGAAUUUUGAUCCCACAAUGAGGCUUCCUUUGAAUAGAAAACUAUUCCUAUUUUUCCAGAUUUGCCAUAGAAUCCAAGGACCACUUCUCCUGAUAUGGACAGGCCAGUUUUGAUUGUUCCCCAUCUUUAAAACAUAGAAGAUGUUGGAGUAGAUGGAGGAGGGGUCGAAACCAUUUACCGGGGCAGGGAAGUGACAAAUAGCCCAGGAUUGUCUUGCAAUAGUACAGUUGAAAAGUACAUGAUUCAUUGACUCUCCCUCCAAACCACAAAUUUGACAGCGAGAAUCUACCUUCAUUCCUCUUUCUAUUAGAUGGUCAGCAACAGAAAUAGCGCCUCCAAUAACUUUCCAGAGGAAAACUUUUAUUUUUGGUGCUGUGUUCAGUGACCAUAUAUGACUUUUGAUGCCAUUUAAGGAGGGUAGAGCUUGACUUGAGACAUAAGCUUCCUUUUUUGCCUCCUUUUCUGCAAACCAAUAGCCUGAUUUCACAGAGUAUUCACCUGAACGGGUGUGGUUCCAGCAAAGAAAAUCAGGAGAAGACACUGCUGGUUUAAUCUUAAGAAUGAUUUCAAUAUCUUGAUCAUAAAACAGGUUUUCCAACUUUUGAUGGUCCCAGAGAUCAGAGUUGGGAAUCAUAAGGUCAGAGACUUUAAGAUUAAGGUCCACCAAGAUAUUCUUCAUGAGAGGAAUGCGAAGACGUUCACCAUCAAUCAGCCAAGGCGUGGACCAAACCGAUAUAGAGAGACCAUUACCAACCGAAUUCCUUAAGCCUUUUUCCAAAAGUUCUCUACCAUGCAAAAUACUGCGCCAUGCGUAGGAAGGUCUGGACCCAAGAGUUGCUGAUAAGAAGGAACCAUUAGAAAAGUAUCUACUUUGCAAAAACCGAGUCAAGAGAGAAACUUGAUUUGUGAGGAUCCUCCAAGCUUGUUUAGCAAGAAGAGCUUGAUUAAAUAAUUCAAUAUCCUUGAAACCCAUUCCUCCCAUUUCCUUUGAAAUACAAAGCUUAUCCCAACUAAGCCAAUGUAUUUUACUUUUAUCCUCUGAAGCUUGCCACCAGAAAGCUGCCAUUGCUGAUUUAAGGUUGUUACAAGUGGUUUUAGGAAGUUUAAAACAAGUCAUGGCGUAUAUAGGCAUAGCCAUAGCCACAGAUUUUAAAAUAACAUCCUUUCCAGCUUGAGAAAGAAAUCUAGAAUACCAACCAGACAUUCUGCCUUUCAUUUUGUCUUGUAUAUAUGCAAGCAUUUCAACUUUGGAGCCACUGAAACACUCAGGUAAACCCAAAUAAGAACCAGCUCCUCCUUCCGAAUAAAUACCAAGCUUUGAUUUAAUUUGUGCUUUAAGAGAAGGACAGGUGUUUUUGCCAAAGGUUAGUGAUGAUUUGGAGAGAUUUAUGACCUGACCUGUAGCUUCCCCGUACUUGAGAAGGAUGUCUUGAAAGACUUGGCACUGAGAAAGUUCAGCUUUGAAUAGGAACAGACUAUCAUCUGCAAAAAAAAGAUGGUGAACUUCCGGGCCAGCCAAGUUGAAUUGAAUUCCUUUCAGAUCUCCUCUAAGUGAAGCUUGAUUCAUCAUGUGAGUAAGACCUUCGGUACAGAGAACAAAGAGGAAGGGUGAGAUAGGAUCACCUUGCCUGAGUCCUCUCUGUGGAGAAAUGUAACCGUAAGAUUGACCAUUCAAAAGGACUGAAUAGGUGACUGUAGUAACACAGGACAUGAUCCAUUUCACCCAUAUAUUGUCAAAACCAAGAGAAAGAAGUAAUGCUUGAAUGUAAUGCCAUUCCACUCUGUCAAAAGCUUUUGACAUAUCCGUUUUUGCAGCCAUGUAGGAUUUUGAGAUCACUUCAUGAGUUCGAAGACUAUGGACUGCUUCAUGGGCCAAAAUAAUGUUAUCAGAUAUGAGUCUAUCUGAAACAAAAGCUGAUUGAGUCGGUGAUACUAUCUCGGGAAGAAAACAUUGAAGUCUUGAGGCUAGAAUCUUGGAAAUGGUCUUGUACAUUACCGUACAUAAGCUGAUAGGUCUCAAAUCAGACAUUACCGAAGCAGUUGUCUUCUUUGGAAUCAGACAAAUCUGUGUGUAGUUCCAAUCGGAGGGCAUAUCACCAGUCUCAAAAAACAAAAGAACUUCUUUAGUAAGUUGAUCUCCAACUAUCUCCCAAUAUUUUUGAAAGAAAAAACCUGACAUCCCAUCAGCUCCAGGAGCACUAUCAGGUUUGAUUGAAAAAACCGCUUCCUUAACCUCCUCUUUAGUGAUCUUCCUUGUGAGGAUCAUGUUCAUAUUAUUUGAGACUCUUACCGGUAAGUCUCUGAGAAGGUCAGAGUAAUCCACCGAGUUGGUAGAUUUAAAGAGGCCACUGAAGUAGUUGAUGGCUACUUGACCUUUAGAGGCUUCCGAACGUUGAAAAAUUCCAUUGCUGUCUUGAAGUUUAACGAUCUCAUUCUUUGAUCUCGCAACUUGGACUGCAGCAUGAAAAUUUUUUGUGUUUCCGUCACCAUGAAGGAUCCAAUCAUCCUUACACUUUUGUUUCCAAAAAUUUUCCUCCUCUUUAUAAGCCUUAACUAAGGAUUUGGUAAGAUUUUCCAUUCUUGGGAAAGAAGGAUUCAUCGAUGACUGUUCUUGUUCAAGUUCCACUUGAAUCUUCGUAAUCUUUAAUUUAGAGUUGGAGACAUUCUUUUUCUUCCAUCUACUUAACGCCUGUCUACAAAAUCUGAUACGAGAAGCGAUGUUGAUGUUUGAAUUUGGAGAAGAAGAGUUCCACGCUUGGUUGAUGGUUUCAAAAACUAAAGGUUUUUGGAAAAAUCUUUUGUCAAACUUGAAAGAACCUCUGUAAGAGUCUUGAGAGGAGAUUAACUUGAUCAAAACAGGGCGAUGGUCAGAGCCUCUUUUAUCAAGGAAGGCUUGGUUUGAGGCCGGAAAUUGAUCAAACCAUUUCUGGUUCCCAAAUGCUCUGUCAAGUCUACUCUGAAUCCAGAGAUUACCUCUCUUUCCACUCCAUGUGAAGGGGUUCCCCGAACUUGGAAGUUCUAUCAUGCCACAUAUUUCUAGCAUUUCCGAAAAAUCUUGAAAGGUGGAGGCGCUUCUUCUUGGACCCCCAAUCUUCUCAGAAUUAUUUAAAAUUUCGUUAAAAUCUCCAAACAUGCACCAACUACUAUCCCUAUUGAUACUGAAUCUAAUCAAACGCUCCCAAACAAGAUGUCGCAGACUUAUAGUUGGGUUGCCGUAAACACACGAGACAUAGAAACACUUAUCUUCAUACAUGAUUUUCAUAUCCAUAACAUUCUUGUUUGCAUACAAAAUAUCCACCCCAACACUGUUCUUCCAAAAAAAAGCAAGACCCCCCCAAGUAUUUACCGGGUCAACAGUGUAGACAUGAUCAUAGCCUAACCAACAUUGCAUAUCUACUAGAGAGUUCCGAGCAUUCAUAGUUUCCAUUAAAAAAAGCACCUCAGGGAAGUAAGUACGUCUUAGUUCCGUGAGGCGUUGAACUGUCAGGCCAUGAGGAUCUCCCAAGCCCCGGCAGUUCCAGCUGAUGAAGCUCAUCAGGCUUUAGACGGUCCCUCAUGCGGGACCAUCUCUGAUGCAUUGCCCUUAGCAGCCUUGGAUGCAACAACCAAUUGAAGUCCUUCUUUGUUUUUGAGCAGACUAUCUUGAGAUGAGUUCUGAGCAUUCUUCUUAUCUGUCCUGAAAGAUCCAAAAAGAUCAUCUUCGGCUUUACGUUUUUUGCUAGGAAUCACAACUUCCGAAGUAGAAGCCAUAGUCUCCUCUGUAGCCUUUGUCAUCUUCUUAGGAGUUUUAGGAAUCCUUUUGUAUCUUCCACUCUUCCUUUUUGGCUUCUCAGUCGGUAUUGAGAUGUUUGAACCACCAGAGAAGGAGAGGUUUGAAAUCUGAGUUGAGGGCAUUAGAACAGGGGGUAAUGAGAGUCUACAGAAGACAUUAUUGAUAGGGUUGGUCAAUAAAUGUCCUGCAGAUAUUGCCGAUGCCAUAAGCUUCUGAGGCUGAGGGUUAGUUUCAGGUUCACUAGAAGCUUUCUCAAAAUCAAAGACUAUUCCUUUACCCUUAUCAAGGUUUGUUGUGAAGAUCGGCGGUGGAAUGAGUUGUAACAUCGCCUUUUGGGUAAUAGGAUUUUUCUCAGCUUCUUUCACCGAGAAAAUCACUCUCUGCUCCCUAAUAUGCCUCUCUUCUUUACUUGAGGCAAGGAGAUAAUUCCGCAUUUCUUGAAGAACCUCCGGAGCAAUGCGAGGACGACCGGAGAGAGGAUUAAUACCAACUUGAUCCUCAUGUAAGACUCCAAACAGAGGAUCACCUUCAGAGAGGAAGGUAUGGUUGGAAGUAGAAGGAGAGAGACGGUUUUUAGUAGCUUCCACCGCACGCAUGUUCUGUUUGUAGGCUAGGAGAGGACAAUGUUCCUUUGCAUGUGUGAGCCGUUGACAUUCCGUGCAUCUUUUCUGGACUUUUUCAUAGAAAUAGUAGAUGGUAGUUUGACCUCCGCCAGGUAGGUUGAGAACCCUUGAUUUCUUGAGAGGCUUGGUAACUUCAAUAUUGAUCUUCACACGAACAUAGUCUUGCCUUUGUGAUUUUUCAGGAUCAAAAGCGACCACUUCAACAUGACCGAUUAGUUCUCCUAGCUCUGUGAUGGCUGGCUUUGUAUAGUGGUUAACCGGGAUGUUGCUUAUUCGGACCCAUAUUGAUACUGAUUGGAGAUAGCCCGGAGGAGGUGUUUCAACCCAUCUUUCUAUAGCUAAUCCCCAGUCAUUGUGAGUUUGCAUGCCUUUGUCAAGAACAUCUUGAAGAUCAUUUGCAUGUGAAAAGAUGAACUGGAAUCUUUCUUUGGUGAGAGCGAUACCUCUAACCCGAUUAACCUUUUGCCACUUCCUUGGCAUGUCUAGGAUCAGAUUAGCCAUGUUCUGAAAUCUUGGGUUAAGGAGACGGCCUAUCAAGCUGCAUGCAUUUCUUUCUGUGGCGUAGAAUUGAGGAAAAUCAGGUAAGUUAAAAGGAGCAUCAUCAUCUUUCAAGGAGAGGGCUAAAAGGGCGUUAUCCAUCUCAGAAGACAUGAUGGAUCAGAAUUUAAGGUUUUGAGAGAAGAGAUAUGAUAAUCGGAUAAGGAUAUUAGGAUCCAGAUAUGAAAAGAUAAAGAUCUUUCUUGUUGAAUUAACCAAGAAAGAUGGUCCAAGGCUCUAGAGAGGAAUAUUCUCUAGAGAGAAGAGAGAGGUAGAAAGAGCGUCAUAACAAUUAUUCGUUUUACUUGAUUAGGUAUAUGAUUAAACAACUAUCAUCGCUACUUUUUUAUGUUUUUCUUUUAUCAUCUACGACCAUCGAAAGGCGUGGUAUAUGCUUUUUGUACAUUCAAUAUAUAAAUAGUAUUGACAAACAAAAAACAACAAAUUAUGAAAUUAAUUCGUCAAACUGAGAUAAAUUUUAAUACAACAAGGUCGGUCCGCCAAAAAUUUAAAUAAAACACAGCCUACCCAUAAUAACUUAUAAUUAAUAAAAAUCCUAUAAUUUUGAUUGUUUUUGCUUGCAUUUUUUUUGUGUUCGAUCCUUCAAUCAAGGAACCAUUGUUUAUUAUCAGUCGAACCAUCGCCCAUGUGCCUGAAGCUCUUCUCUUAACAGACUCGAUUAAUCAUAUUUAAAUCUGAUUUUUCCUUUGUCGGCACAUAUUCAUGGCUUUUCUUAUUGUAUAUUAAGUGACUCCACAUUAUUACUUUACAAACAUUAUUAAAAGAGGAGGACUUGUAAAUUGCAAAAAGCAGCUUGCACAUGCAAGUAUGUAUGUGGGUUUGUCCUUUACUUAACCUCUUGUCUCCUAUAAAAACCACCUAAAUGUUUCCAUGUUUAUGUAUCCCAAAGCUCGAGAGAAAACAGAAGAAAAUAUUAAACAGAAAACACCAGAAAUCAAAGUAGAAAGAGAUGAUGAAGUUCAAGUCUAAGAGAUUUGGGAUUAGAUUUGGUUUUGGUAAAAGAACCAACAACAAAGGCACACAACAAGAUCAACAGCAAAAGGGAUUGGGUAAUAGCAACAACAAUAUUAGCUGCUGCAAUAAUGAAAUCAAAUGGGAACUUAGACCAGGAGGUAUGCUUGUUCAAAAAAGACAAGAGAGCAUUGGUGAUGACUUGAUCUCCAUUAGAGUCUCUACUUUUGCUAAUUUUCAUGAUCUAUCCAUUGAAGCAACCUCCACUUUUGGUAAAUUUCUCAUCUCUCGACUUAUUUAUAAUUUGGUCAAAUUACAGAAUUUGUUAAAAUCUUAGAUUAAUAUAUGUGAGUUCACAAAAGCUAUCCUUUAUUAAAAUCACGCUAAAAAAACUUGGAACUGUGGCAUUUUUCUUAUUUCAAAAACUAGAUAACCAUUCUAAAAGAUGAAAAUAUAAAAUAGAAUGUCAAAUUUAUUUUUCUAAUGAGAAAUUAUAGGCCAUACAAAUAUUCAUGAUAUUACAACUAAUUUAUACUUACGGAUUUACAGGAGAACUUAAGAUGGUACUAUCACUGCUUACCGGUUUAGAGCCAAAACAACAAAGGCUAUUAUUCAAAGGGAAAGAAAGAGAGGAUGAUGAAUAUCUACACAUGGUUGGUGUUGGAGAAAAAGACAAGGUGUUGUUGUUAGAAGAUCCUGCCUUCAAAGAGAAAAAGCUUCUUGAUCGUAACAACAUUUCCGCUUCUUGUCUCACUAUAAUCGUAUAAACAACUAAACAAAUUUGUCAAAUUAGUUGUUUGUUAAGUACUUCUAAGUAAAAUAUAAAAGCAGCCAAGAAUAGUUACUAGAUAGGAUUGUCAUACAUAAUGCACUAUACUAAUCAUAUAAAUUUCUAUAUUGAAUUUGUAAAAUUAAUGUUUACAUGUAAUAUAUUUUAAGGUUUUCAGAAAGUUUCAUACUCUUAGUUUGUUUUAUUUACUUAGUAUGAGAUAAUUUCGUUAUAUGCUGAAAACGAUAACACAAGAAAUAUGAUGCACUCCAUUAUCUCUAAACGUCAAUAUCCAUUUUCAUUAUUAUUAUUUGUUCAGAUGAUUUGGUACAGAUUAGUUAAAAGUUUUCUAUAAUAAUAGAACUAAAACGGGGAAACAAACCGAAAACUUCUGCAUAACCGAGCUGGUCAGUACCCCUAUACAGACCAACACCUUUCAUAUAUAUCUCGGUAUAAUCCAGUUCGGCCCUAACGUCUCUAAUAUUAUACUACGUACCAAACAUCCGCCGCUUGGUUAUUUCGAAAAGACUAGUAGUAUGUCCACAAACCGCAAGUCUAAACCACCAGUUUUCAGUGGUCUAUAAAUCAUCUCUCUUCACGAACCGGCCCUGAAAAGAAAUUAACCAAAACCAUAAUUAGAACCAGCAGUUCCACGCAUCAAACCAGUUUCUUGUUCUCAGUGAGUUCAGUCAAUUACUUGUAGCCUAAUAGUUUGGAUUAGUACAUCCAUCGCGUUCAUAACCCAAAAUUAAAUACAGACUAUCUAGUAGUGUACGUGUGUAAUUUGUUGAAAAGAAAAGAAGGUAAGUUUACUUUAUUACGAGGACGUUUCUCAGCGUUGAGCUUACGAACUUGGUAUCGAAUCCGCUUAGAGAAAAAGCGGCUUUGCCGCUUCUCUUUAUACCGAAGCAAACUAGCUUCCCUAUGCCCUCUCCAUAACCUCUCCAUUGUCUCCAUCUUCGGCACCGCCCAUAAUGCCUCUCCACCGCUGGUAAACACCUAAACCAUCAUCAAAUACACACUUGCCUAGUAUCAAAUCUUUGAACCAGCUUAACUAAUAACAACGAUAAAAAAAAAAACCAUACUGUUACUUUCCCGUUACAUUUAUUUAUUUAUAGUCAACGUGAUAAUAUUGUGACAACUUGUCAAAAAGUUAGGUUAUCAUUAUUACAGUUUCAAGAAAGUACCCUUGAUCUCAUUAAUAUUUCACCGGCAAUUAGUUACGUUAACCUUUGAUUACGAUAUAAUAAAUAACCAAAAGAGAUGUUUACUUACGUCAGCGGAAGCAUGCAAGUCCGGCACCGUCUGCGGCGGUUCUCCGUCGACAUAAAGAGUACCUUUAUCCAACCAAGCCUCCAUGAUCUGCUCAUAAUCAAGCUUCAGAGCCAGAGAAGACCGUCCCUCGUUUCCAUCUCCGCCGCAACACCGUGGAGUUCCGCUCCGACUCACCACCUCAUCCACAACCUCGGAAUAACUCACCCACCGCUCCUCCGUCGUCUCUCCCUCCUUGCUCGCUCCUUUCUUCAUCGCCGUCCUUAGAAGCGAAGAAGAAGAAGACGACCCGUGAUCCUGACGAUCGUACGGAGAAUGAUUCCUUCCUCCGUCGCAGUCUAACUCAGCGGAAGAGGAGUAAGGGAGUAUCGAAGAGAUUGUGCUGUCGUUGGCGGAGUUAAAGAGGUAAGCCGCAACGGUGUCGUAAUGCUCUUCUUCUUUCUCUCCUCCCACAGUCUCCGCUCUCUUCUUCUCCUUAGACGGCGUCGCAUCAGCUCCCUUUGUCUUGCUCUGUUUGAGCUUUUUGUUGUUCUUUCUGUGCUUACGAGACGUUUCAAUAUUUGAAGGAGACGUUUGAAGAUUUGAAGGAGACUUGUAUAUGGAAUUUGAUUCCAUGUGUUUCCGCUUCUUGAUCCUAUUCGAUGUUCUCGUACUCUGUUUCUCGUUGCCGACCGGACUGAGUUUGUCACACAUCUCUCUCUCUAACUGUGUUUCUCACUCCUUUCUAAUUCUCUCUCUAGUGUGUAGGUGGAGGGAAAAAGAAAGCUGACCGUGAUUGUACCUUGACGCGUGUCGAUCAGUCAUUGGAUAAUGGUGUUGUAAUUUUGGAUUGUGUUUGGAUGUGCAGGGAGGGAGUAAUGUUGAGUAGACUUGACUUUUGAUUAACUAUGAGUAACUCCAAGUUUUUUCCAACUUUUUGAGAAAGCACUUUGUUUUUACUUUUUAGAUACCAUACAGCAUUUAUAAUUUAUAAAGUUCAUGGAUUUAUAUAAAAAGUUAGAUAUUUUUUUAACAUUUGCACCAAAAAAAAACAAAUAUAUUUCGUAAAUGGGAAUGAUCUUUUAAACUUGUGUUCAUCUUAAAUUUCCUACCACCGACAGCAAUGGCACGAAGUGAUUUUGUAGUACAGUAGCAUCCUGAACUAUUGCUGUCAUUUGAUGACAUCUUUCGCAUGUACUCCAGUAUUCUUUUUUUUAUAGCAUUCACGUGAAAUCAAACAUUAAUUAAUAUACUUAUUUUGUCCUUACCUUUGCUUUAGGCUGCAAUUAUGUAAGGUUACACGAACAGUAAUUAGUUUAUACAAACUUUACUUUAGGAGAUUGGGGAUACACUUUGCAGAAUCUUGGUUAUCUUGUUAAAUCAUAGUGUAGUACUCUAGUAAAUAUAAAGUUCAUGGUUAAGUACUAUUUUAACGUGAUAGAAUAGUAAACAUAUUUAGGAUGUCGCAUCAAAGUUCAAGUUCAUAUACAUAUAUGUUUCAAUCUUUUCAGUUGACCAGAUAAAUAUUAUAUAUUUAUUUUUCACAUAAAAAGAAAAACUGGACAUUGCAAUCUUGUAUGAAUUAACUUGAACAAGAAGUCAAGAACAUAUAAACGAUGCCAUUUUCAAAAGUAAAUUUUCUUUCCGUUAUUUUGUGAAAUUAAUUUUGAAAAUUCUGGUUAAUACUAGUUGAUAGAUUAUUUUUUUCGAGCGAAAUACUAGGGCUAUGAAUGUACCACAGUCCACAGUCAAGAACAUAUGCAGACCAUUACCAAUGCAGAUUGAACUGCAAUUUUUUUUUUCAUUCAAUUUUUCAAAUGCAGAACAAAAGAAAAUCUGAAAAUCUGCAUGCAGAACAAAUUUGGUCAUUGAUUUAAUGAUCUGCAGGAAAGAAAGGAAAGACACCAAAAACAUGCUGAGGGCCAAUGAGAAUCAUUUGUCUUUUGUUUUGUUUUUCUUUUUCUUUUCCUGCUACCAAUAUUAAUUUAUUUCUUUCACUUUUAAAUCACAUAAUAUUUCAUUUCAAAAGUACAUUUAAUAUAUUGUUCCAUCUUUUCAUUUUAUUAGUAGUUUAUUUUAAACGAAUUUUAUAAUCAUAUUUUAUAUAUUCUAUAAAUAUUUUAAUAGAAAAUUAUGUAUAUGUAGAUUACAUAUUUACAAUUUUAUAUAAUUUUUAAUAAUAAAUAGUCACGCAUAUUAUUUUUUAUAUAAUCUCAGAACAUAUGCUUAUACUAAAGAAUUAUAUAAUGUUUAGUUAAGGAAACAUAUAUGUUAUAGUUUAUUUUUUAUAAUUGAUAAUAUUUAACAUAAAUAAAAUAAUAUUAUUUUUAUGGUUGAGGAAAAUGAUAUGAAAAAAAAAUUUAGGAUUCAGAUUAUAAUAAAUCGGUUCAGAUAUACCCAAAAUAAAAUCUAAAAUUUAAAAGAAAAACAUAAAAAAUAUAUAGUUACUUACAUAAAAUGAAGUAUUUAAGAUACUUAUUUAAAUUUUAAAUAUUUAUUGAUAUAUAUCAUAGCAAAAUAAAUAGGAAAUUUAAUAUUUUAAGUGUAUUUAUUUUUUAAAUAUUUAUAUUCUAUAUAAAUUUGGACAUUCAGAUCGAUUUUUCAGAUAUUUUUCACCCGUUGGAGUUCUGUUUAAUAACACUUUUGCUUUGGAUAUUUUUUAUAACACCCUACAAAACACAUCCAGGUAUUUUUUUACAUUUUGAACUUGGUAUGAGUCAGUUUUUUGGUUCAGGUUGGGUUCAAAAUUCAGGAAAAUGAUUUUAUGUCCAGCCCUAAUUAACGUCUUUGGAUCUUAAUUGGAUUUUAAUUUGGACUAUAAAAUUAAUUAAAGGGACAAGUAAUACUCUUUGUCAUUUUAAUGAAUUUUAUAUAAUUUUUAAGUUUUAAUAUAUUUAUUAGAGUGAUAUUUUUUACCGUUUUUUUGUUGUAAUUUUUUUUACUUUUUAUAUAAUGUUUAAACUUUUUUUUGUAUUUAUUAAAUUAAUAAAAAAUAAUAAUAGAUAAGAAUUUGUAUUUUUUAGAUAUUUAAUUUGCAAAAUUAUUUUUAACAUUUGGUUAAACACGCUAAUUUGAUAAACUAGCUUAAUCAGUUAGAUCUGCAUUUGUUCUGCAUGAUCUGCUUGAUCUGCAUUUGUUCUGUUUGAUCUGCGUUUUGGGUUUGAUCUGCUUACCAUUCGAAGCCUAAGUAGGGGCGGACACAUAGCAAAUACUAACAUAAUUUUUGGUAUUUAUAAUUUGUUUCGUAUAUUAUGAAUAUUGAUUUUUUUAUUUACUUUAUUUUGGAAAUUUACAGAUAUCCAAAAAAUAUAUAGAUAUUUACGGAUUUCUUAUCCGUUUUGUUUAUUACAAAUACUUUAAAAAAUUAGAUACAAUUUACUUUUUAAAAUGUUUAUUUUAUAUGAUAUAUAAAAUAAAAAAUAAAAGAUGUUAUAAUUAUCGUAAUUUUUUAUAAUAAUAAGAAGUGCUGAUGAGCUUACAACCUCCAAACUUUGUCAAAGGAAUCAGGAGUUUCCUAGGACAUGCUGGCUUUUACAGAAGAUUCAUCAAGGACUUUUCCAAAAUCGCAAGACCAUUCACUCGCCUGCUCUGCAGGGAGACAAGAUUUGAGUUCGACAGCGAUUGUUUGACAGCCUUCCACACGAUCAAAGGAGCUCUAAUCAGUGCACCCAUCGUGCAACCACCAGACUGGGAGCUCCCAUUCGAGAUCAUGACAGACGCAAGCGACUUCGCAGUUGGAGCUGUGCUAGGACAACGAAAAGACAAGAAGCUUCACGUGAUCUAUUAUGCGAGCAGGACAUUAGAUGAAGCUCAGUGUCGCUAUGCAACUACAGAAAAGGAACUUCUAGCAAUUGUCUAUGCCUUUGAAAAGUUCAGAUCCUACUUAGUGGGAUCUAAGGUGAUAGUGCACACAGAUCAUGCAGCAUUGAGGUAUUUGCUGACGAAGAAGGAUGCGAAACCAAGGCUACUCCGAUGGAUCUUAUUACUCAAGGAAUUUGACCUAGAAAUCAAAGAUAAAAAGGGCAUUGAGAAUGGCGUUGAAGAUCACCUCUCCAAAAUGAAAAUAGAUGAAAAUACAACCCUUGAUGACACCCUUCCAGUCGAGCAUGUCUACUCGAUCAGUCAUGGAAGCGUCACAGAACAACCGCUCCGUCCAGUUUGCUCCAGCGUUCUGGAACACCUUGUCUGUACGAUCAAAAAGCAACAUCCCAAUCUUUCAUGGUUUGCUAAGAUCGCCAACAAUCUAACUGCUUAGAAAGAACCUGUCAAAUUCACUGGCAAUGAUAAACGGAAAUUUCUGAGAGGAGCAAGACAUUACUAUUGGGAUGAACCCUAUCUGUACUGUAGCUGCAAGGACGGAGUAUUCCGACGAUGUGUAACUGAAUCUGAGAUUACAGGAAUCCUCUAUCACUGUCAUGGUUCCUCUUAUGCAGCGCACUUUGCGACCUUUAAAACCGUGUCUAAGAUCCUUCAAGCCGGUUUUUGGUGGCCAACAAUGUUCCAAGACGCCCAUUCCUGCAUCUCUAGAUGCGACUCAUGCCAGCGACAAGGGAAUAUCAGUAAACGGAAUGAGAUGCCUCAGAAUUUCAUCUUGGAGGUUGAAGUAUUCGAUUGUUGGGGAAUCGACUUCAUGGGACCAUUCCCACCAUCCUUCAAGAGUGAGUACAUUUUGGUAGCAGUUGACUAUGUUUCUAAGUGGGUGGAAGCGAUUGCCAGUACCAUAAACGACGCAAGGGUGGUCACUAAGAUGUUCAAAACCAUAAUCUUCCCAAGAUUAGGGGUACCACGCGUGGUCAUCAGCGAUGGGGGUAGUCAUUUCAUCAACAAGAUCUUUGCAGAUCUAUUGAAGAAGAACGGCGUGCAACAUAAGGUAGCCAUGCUAUAUCACCCUCAAACUAGUGGGCAAGUAGAAGUUUCAAACAGAGAGAUCAAGAGCAUCCUGCAGAAAAGAGUUAACACAAGUCGCAAGGAUUGGUCGUUCAAGCUAGACAACACUCUCUGGGCUUACAAAACAGCUUAGAAAACACCAAUCGGGACCACUCCUUACAAUCUGGUGUACGGUAAAGCUUGUCACCUACCGGUUGAGUUGGAGUAUAAGGUGCUUGGGCUGUGAAACUACUCAACUUUGACAUCAAACCAGCAACAGAGAGACGAUCCAUGCAGAUUCACGAACUCGAGGAAAUUAGGCAUCUCGCCUAUGAAAGCUCUAAAAUCUACAAGGAGUGAACUAAGGCUUACCAUGACAAGAGGAUCAUCAACCGCAACUUUCAACCUAAGGAUCAGGUGCUCUUGUUCAACUCAAGGCUACGAUUGUUCGCUGAAAAUCUGCGAUCUAGGUGGUCCGGACCAUUCACCAUUAAAGAGGUCCGCCCCAACGGAGCUGUUGUGUUGCUGAACACGAAAGUGGAAGAAUUUGUUGUCAAUGGCCAACGCAUAAACCCAUACCUUGCAGAGACAACAAUCGCAUAGGGUGAAGAAAUUCCUCUAAGCGAUCCUCCCUUAGCUUAAUAGGUAAACCAAGUCAAGCUAGUGACUUAAACCAAGCGCUUGGUGGGAGACAACCCACUGGUAAGUGUAAAUAUUUAUUCUAGAUUUCGUUUUUGUGUUUCUUUUUACUUUUUGCAGGAUAAAAAUCAAAAACCCCGAGUUACUAAAAACGAAACAGUCUCCAAUUUUUCGGAGCAGCCGCUCCGCGAAGAUGGCUCCCAAGCAAACCAAGGCAGUAUCCAGGAUCAAGCCACCAUACGCUCGGGGUGAACGGGAGGAUUACACUGUUCCCCCAACCUACCCAUGGCCACGAGAAGAGGGAACCGAGAUCUCCAUCACAAAUCCGAACAUCCCAAAGUCCUCGGAGACAAGAUGGGAUAAGGAAGCCUCACGCCGCUACAACACUUUGCUCAAAACCAACAUCUUCCCCACCCGUUUCGUCGAUGCCGGGGCUUUGAGCAACCUAUGCCUCCAUGAGGAUUUACAUGCGGUUAUCCAUGUGCUGGGAAUAGCUGAUCUCUGUCACAGAACUCACCCGUUGUACCCUGAUCUGGUGAGGCAAGUCCUAGCCACUGCGAAGUUCACUUUCAAAAGGCUCGGUUUCCCGAUCUUUGAGGAUGCCUACUUCACUUUCUUUGCGAGCGGUAUUAAGCACUCCGUUACUUGGAAGCGCUGAGAGAGGUCUAUGAGAUGUCCGAGGAAUACACUCAGACGUCCUUUACACGGAAGUUUGUUCCAGAGCAAGCAUUCUGGAAAUUCAUCGCUUCAGGGGAUUUAAAAUCCCGAUCAGCCAGUCAGUCUCACAUUUGUAACCCUGUUCUGCGCAUUGCUGCUAAGGUCAUGAGAAAUCUGCUCUUCACAAAGGACCAUACGUCAAAGGUGACACGUGGAGAGUUGCAAAUGCUAUGUGCCAGUGUUGAGGACGAGCUCAAAUCCUCCGACAUUGGGAUUCCGACCGCGCCGAUGACAACUAGUCCUGGUUGUGUGCUUGCUCAGAUGUUUGUGGACAAGAAAGCCAGAGUGGUCAAAGGUUCUUUGAAGAAAGACCGUUAUGGGAGUUUGCUUACUGUUGCAGGCUGGAAAUCAGGGAUGGUAAAAUGGUUGAUGGAAGCUUGAUGGAUCGACCAAAGAUAUGGGUGAUUUACAAUGAAACAAAGACUAGAGCUUUAUAGGCUCGACCAAGGACUCUCUAACAGUCAUAAAAUGACAUAAGGAAAGAAAUAAAAUCGAAAUAAUAAACCUGGAAGCAAAGGAAUUGAUGGCUCCUUGAAAACUAGCCGUCGGAGGCUUAAUGAUGAGAAUCUUGGCCAAAUGAAUGUAGAUGGUGUCCUCCUUGUAUCUGGACGGUUUGAGGGGGUAAGUGAGCUUCCUGGGAAUCUUCUUAAUUAUGCUGAUCUCGUCCUUGCCUUGGUAGAAAAAGAGCUGUUGGAGUUUGAAUGCAUGAGACUCCAAAUAAGGCAGUUUGGUGAUAAUGGGGAUCUUCUUAUUCCUAUGUGGGCUGGUGCAUGGGAUGAAGUUGUAGAACUCUUCUGGCUCGUGUAUAUUGUCUCCUGGAUGUCUUGGUUUUGUCUGGACGUCGUCUGGUUCUCCUGGUUGGAUUGGAAUUGCUUGGAAUGGAUCAAACCGAAAGAUUGUCCAAUCUUUCCAUAAAUAGCUCCGGUUGGGUUUAAGUGAUUCUCCAUUGAACCAACUGAUCUCCUGGGUUCUGGUGCAGCAAAGAACUUCUGGAAUACCUCCUGAUUGGUUAAGAUGAUCUCCUGGUUCCUAUAAAUAGCUCUGGGUCGAACCAAGUUGAAUUGGUUGGAGACUUUCCAUAGAUGACGUCGGUUUGGCCGGUUCUGGGGAAUUGAUCAUAACUCCUAAUUUCCGUGGCCAUUUCUCCUGAUCUUGGACUUUCUGGAAAGCUGAUAAACUCCUCUUGACUCCUAUAAUGGGAUUUUCUUCAGGCCGCUCCUUAACUGAGCUUGAAUCUUCUUCUAAAAUCGGGUACUCGCAGAUGGACGGGCUGGGAAACUUCUGAUUUGUAAAAUUCAUAACUUCUUGCUCCGUGAAUAUUUUGGCUCGAUUCCAAUUGGGAUGGACUCCGUCUUGAGUGUAAAAUCCAAUAAAAUUGGUUUCAUGUUGAAAUUCCUUCUUUUUGUUGAGAUAUACACCUUGGACUGAACCUCGGUCGCUGGUACCUCCUACAUGGCUGGUUUGGACGGUUUGGUGAGACUCUGGUCGAACCAUGGAUUUCGUGACCACAACAUCCCCUCCCUCUUGACAAGGUUUCGACCUCGAAACUAUGUAACCUGCACCAAGAUAGAGCAAGUCAGCUUUCAUCCUCUUUUGAGAUUCUAAAACCUUACCUUGGAACUGUUUCGGUUUGGGAAUGGAAUUUGUAUCAGGUGGUUCUCCUUUGAGAAAAUAGGAAUGGAUCACGCUUCUGCUCUGGACAUGGUCAUUUCUUAUCUUCUGGAGUGGAUGGUCCUUCAAAUUUUUGGUGGUCACGUUUCUGAUCAUCUUUGGAGUUGAUUCUCCUAGCAACAAAAGAUUAUCCGGUGGGAUUUCUUUGAAGCUUUCUUCUUUGCAACCUGAAAAAUUCUCAACAUUCUGGACAAAAAGCAAGUGCAUUAUAUCUGUCAUUGAAAUAUUAAGAACAUGCUUAUCUAAAAGGAAUCUUACCAUAGGUUUUGGAACUUGAACAAUGGAUUGUUCAGAUUUCGGUUUCCACUUAGAAGUGGGUUCAUGGCUGAGCUUAGGGUCUGGUUCUUUCUUUGGAACUACAAUAAGCUUAUAGCUUUCAUUUGUUCUACCUGUACCAAGAACACACACGUCAGUACUAGUAUCCAAAGGUGGUGUUUGAAACUUACCUUGGUGGGAUACUUUUAUGACCGGUUUUACUUCUUUAAGCAACGUGGACUGCAUUGUGUCUUGAACCAUCUUCUGGUCCAUCACAGGUGUGGCGCCUGGUGGCUCCUCUCCUUUGAAUUCAUGCUCCUUAGUUCCUGUUACAUCACCCUUUGACAAAGACAAGUGCAUCAUACAAGAAUUUUGAGCUAAUAAAUCAGAUUGAAUAAAACUAUCACUCUUCAUAGAUAAAUCAGUUUUCUUUUCUAGUGAUGUUUCUAUCAAUGCUUGUUUAGUAGGACAAAAUACAGCAUAGUGUCCUUUCUUAUGACAUCUAUAACAUGUCUGAUAUCUUAAAUCCUCAGAGUUAGAAGACUUACAUUGGCUUGAUGACUCCUCUUUCUUUGGGUUUAAAAUCUCUUUGUCUCUUAGACUUAAAUCAUGGACAACUUUUGAUUCCAACAAAGAUGUGGAGGUCGUGUCUUUCUCAAUCUCAGGACCUGUCUUAACAUCCUUGGACAAAGACAAGUGACUCAUACCAGUGGGAGAUGAUUUAUAAACAAAUUUAUCAAGUAUAGGACUUACCUUGGCCUUCUCUUGAAAAAUCGGUUUGUCUGAUUUUUCUUUGGAACCAUGAGUUAGAUACCUCCUUGGGUAUAUCUUUUGGAUCUUAGAUCUUGUGAGUUCUGGUGCAAAUUCAUCCCUCAUGACUUUCUUAAGAUCUCUCCACGUUUUGAUAGCUGGCUCCUUGUAAAACCAUCUAUCAUCUUCUUCUUGUACCCACCAUUUAAAGGCAUUACCUCUUAGCUGAUCAAUGGCAUAAGAUAGUCUCUCUUCUUUCAGAAUGUUGUUGUAGUGAAACCAUUCAUCAAGGUUCCUCUCCCAAAAUAGGUAACUUCUUCCUCCUGAAAAUGUAAAGAGUUCAAUUUUAUCAGCAAAAGAUUUAUGAUCAAACCGAGAAUUAGCAACAUGAUGAGUAUGGGUUUGAGAAGUUGGAUGUUGAUUGAUCCUUGAAGGAUCUGGUGGCUUGGGCUCGACAUAGACAGCCUCUGGUGAGUCUCCAAAUCUCCUUUCUCCUUGCUGUGGACGUUGGACUCGUGCCUUGUUUCUUUUCCUCAACUGAGCAAUCCGAUCAUUGAUCUCUUGCAAAGCUGUCAACUAUUGGUUCUGUUUGGCCAUCUGACUUUGGCCGUGUGUUUUUCCUACCAUGGCUUCCUGAAAACACUCUCAAAGAUCAAGUGAAGGUAUGGAAAAUCCUGGUCGAAUCAAAAUAAGAACCAAAAAUGCAAGCUAAUUAAAAUUAAACCGAAAAAUUGCAAUUAUGAACCGAAAUGAAAUAAACUGUGCUAAAAUAAUUUUUCCUUUGGUUUUCUCAAUGCAUAAACGAAAUGAAUCAAUAUGGAAUGACAAUUAACACAAGUGAAAAGAAAAUAUGGAAAUAAAACUAACACUUAUUUUUUUUGAAUUUUCUUAUGCAAGUAACCGAAAAUGGAAACAAAUAUGUAUACUUGAACCCAAAAUGAUAUAAACUAAUCUGAAUGAUUUUUUUAAUGCAAAUAAAAAAAUAAUGAGACAAAUAUGGUAUUCACUAAAUUAAUAAAAUGCUAUGCUCUUUUUUUUUUAACUUUUCAAUGCAAGAAACAAAUAUGGAAAUGCAGAUUUUUUUUUUUUUUAAAUGAAUGCACAAAAUCUAAAUAUGGCAAGUGGAGCUGGGGAAUGAAUGCAAACAACUAGACAAGUAUUUCAAAAGAAUUUCGUGGAUCAAACUAGACAACUUCUUCUUCUUUAGUUUUCUUUUCUUAAGAACAACAAUAACAAUGCAAAAACUGUUUUUUUUUUAAAUGAAAACAAAUGCAUACAAAUACGAAUGAUGCAGGGAUAGAGUGACCUGAUUCAGGAGCUUGAGCUCUGAUACCAAAUGUUGCAGGCUGGAAAUCAGGGAUGGCAAAAUGGUUGAUGGAAGCUUGAUGGAUCGACCAAAGAUAUGAUCGGAUGGGCGAUAUGAUGGAAUGCAAGUUAUGAUCCUGAAAACAAAUGUAAAAACAAAUGAGAUAUGAUUUCUAAUAUGAUAAAACAAGAUAAAUAAAGAUAGAUAGCAUGGAAUUAGGCUGAUGUUCGUGUGACACUCUCAGCCUAAUCAGUUGAUGAUUGAAGUGGAUUGAGAUGGUGCUUUGCUUGCUGGAUGUGUAUCACUCUCAAGCUUGGCAAACAAUGAAACAAAGACUAGAGCUUUAUAGUCUUGACCAAGGACUCUCUAACGGUCAUAAAAUGACAUAAGGAAAGAAUUAAAAUCGAAAUAAUAAACUUGGAAGCAAAGGAAUUGAUGGCUCCUUGAAAACUAGCCGUUGGAGGCUUAAUGAUGAGAAUCUUGGCCAAAUGAAUGUAGAUGGUGUCCUCCUUGUAUCUGGACGGUUUGAGGGGGUAAGUGAGCUUCCUGGGAAUCUUCUUAAUGGUCUGGAAGGUGCUGAUGUCGUGCAUAGACUGAAGGAAAAAGAGCUGUUGGAGUUUUAAUGCUUGAGGCUCCAAAUAAGGCAGUUUGGUGAUAAUGGGGAUCUUCUUAUUCCUAUGUGGGCUGGUGCAUGGGAUGAAGUUGUAGAACUCUUCUGGCUCGUGUAUAUUGUCUCCUGGAUGUCUUGGUUUUGUCUGGACGUCGUCUGGUUCUCCUGGUUGGAUUGGAAUUGCUUGGAAAGGAUCAAACCGAAAGAUUGUCCAAUCUUUCCAUAAAUAGCUCCGGUUGGGUUUAAGUGAUUCUCCAUUGAACCAACUGAUCUCCUGGGUUCUGGUGCAGCAAAAUACUUCUGGAAUACCUCCUGAUUGGUUAAGAUGAUCUCCUGGUUCCCAUAAAUAGCUCUGGGUCGAACCAAGUUGAAUUGGUUGGAGACUUUCCAUAGAUGACGUCGGUUUGGCCAGUUCUGGGGAAUUGAUCAUAACUCCUAAUUUCCGUGGUCAUUUCUCCUGAUCUUGGACUUUAUGGAAAGCUGAUAAACUCCUCUUGACUCCUAUAAUGGGCUUUGCCUCAGGCCGCUCUUUAACUGAGCUUUAAUCUUCUUCUAAAGUCGGGUACUCGCAGAUGGACGGGCUGGGAAACUUCUGAUUUGUAAAAUUCAUAACUUCUUGCUCCGUGAAUAUUUUGGCUCGAUUCCAAUUGGGAUGGACUCCUUCUUGAGUGUAAAAUCCAAUAAAAAUGGUUUCAUGUUGAAAGUUCUUCUUUUUGUAGAGAUAUACGCCUUGGACUGAACCUCGGUCGCUGGUACCUCCUACAUGGCCGAUUUGGACGGUUUGGUGAGACUCUGGUCGAACCAUGGAUUUCGUGACCACAACACUUACUCCUCUCUUCCGCCACUUAGAGCUUGAUCUCAGCGUCUGUCAGUGUAAUGAGACAACGUCGUUCAUUGAUAUCCCUUACCUGAUCAACUGCCAGAUUCUCCGCGACGAGAACACCUGCAGCUUCCUCAGUCAGGACGGGAGAAACCUCUACUGCAAGCUGCCUCAACCGAACAUCACCUCGCUAAGUGAUGUGACCAACAUCUGUUUCGUUCCUGAUGCUCAGUAUCUCUGCACCGACCAAAGUUAUCUUACCGUGACGAUACUAUGGAUGAUGUUGAGUUUGUCUGCACAGAUGGAGGCAACAAUGCAUAUGACCUGGGUCCCCUUGAUGACAACGCAGAUGCCGCUACCUACCGACGCUUGAUGGUAGAUUCUCAGCGCAAGAACAACAUUCUCAUGAAGAGGAUACUGAAGGCAAUCACUGGAAGAUGCAUGGGAGCUCCGAGCACAGCUGAACCUGUCAAGACCAGUCUACACCACGCAGUCAUCGUCGAGGGAAGGAGCUAGCAGGAACUGCAAAGGGUGACGAAGAGACUCCAUGGGCUACUCCACGCAAAAGGAACAUGCGUUCCGCGGGCCAGUCCGAGAGCGAUGAUACUGACUAGGCAGUCUCCUAUUUAUAUCUCCAGUGUUAUAUCCGUUUGAACUCUUUCUAUAUUUGUUUCUGUUUCCUGCACUUGUUUAUUAUUUUGGUAUUUCCUCUAAUUAUUUUCUCACCAGGGAUGGUGAGAAGUAAGUCUGGGGGAGGCGAUUAUCUGCUACUAAUCAUUUACUUUUGGUUUUAUGUUUAGAGUCAGUCCGCUUUGAUGUCUUUAUCGAGUCAGUUUGUUAAGAUCGAGUCAGUCCAAACUUUGUGGGAAUCAGGACCUUAUUCUAUGAUGUGUAUUAACCACCCUCGUGCUCUAAUUCAUCUUAUUCGGUGACCUUAGCAGAAGCGACAGACGCACAUGUGGAUCCAGAACACCCUGACAUUACAUCAUCUUGUUCUCCAAAAGCUUUCAGCUUGUCGAGGUUACUCGGGAAAGAAUUAACUCCAUCUAACUUGAACUUAAUCUUGACUGCAAUUCUUCUUGUUAUGGGUGUUAGAAUAUGGUUUAACGUGAUCAACACUCAGGACUUCUUAUUCUUUUUAUCCAUCUUGCUGAUCCUGAGUGGCUAGCUCAUCUUUAGCUAGUACCCACCUUAAAACCCUAAAGCCUUUGUUCCGCCCUCAUGCAUUUGUUAUUCAGUAUCUUAUGUGCAGAUAUGUACAAAAGGGCCGGAGAGGAAAGGAUCGACACAGUCUCUUACUCAAUGAUGCAACAUAAGUUUUUGCUGAAGAAUAGGUCGAAGCACACGGAGCAGCCGCUUCGCCGCCGAUGAUCUAACUAAGAAAAGAAAAGAGACAAGAAUGAAUGGGAGGUCAAGAACUCCAGUGGCAUGUCGCUAUCACAGUUGUUACCUCCUGCUUCGUCACCAUCACCUAUGUAUUAUCCUGAUUUCUAAUAAUAAUAAAAUAAAAAAAAAUUAGUUUUAUUUACUUCAGAAUAAGGUGAUGAAAAAGGAGAAGAUUAUAAAAGAAAAGACAGACGCCACUGAUAAAUUAGAAGGAGUAUAAAGAAAAGAUAUGAGAACCAUUCAAAUCAGAGCGACUGUUCCUAAAGAAGAAUAUGCAAAAACGAGUAGAGGCUGUGGACAUCAAUGGAUCUAUCCUCUCUUGCAAUUUUGCGCGAUAUCUUGCAUCCUCUACGAAAUUUGGUAACCCCUAAACACUGAUUAGCUCCACUUAAACACAAAAAUGCUUGUUUCAUACCUAGACCGUUACUCUAUCUAACGCCUAUGAUGAGAAGCUCACACUACUCUUAAUUGAAUAUAAGGAGUUUUGUCUGGAAGGUUUUAAAUGAAAGUGGUGGUUGAGGCUUUAAAUUUUUAGAUUUUAAUUUUUUCUUAAUUGAAUAAUUUUUUUUCAUUUCAUGAAAACUAAGUUUUUUGUUUUAUACUUUCAUUUAUUUGAUCAAUAACUAUGUUCAUCUUUCGUUUGAUUUUGAAUGAUCACGUUUGAUGUUUUUUUUUUUCAUAUUUUUGAAUCGGUUUUACUUAUAUUUUGGUUACAAAAUAGAUACAAAUCAAAUACUUUAAAACCGAAGAACUGGUUUUACUUAUGUUUUGGUUACAAAAUAGGUAUAAAUCAAGUGUUUUGAAGUGAUUGGGACCCGAAACUGAAAGUACAUCGGAUUGUAAUGGUUCUUUGAAGAUUUACUAACCCUGAUCCGAACUCGAACCGGUUCCGAACCGAAUUUUCAUAUAAUCCGAAUGAAACUGAUUUUGAUAAAUUCGAAAAAACGAGAUCUGAUUGGACAAAACCGAAAUCCGAUUGGGAUCUUAAAUGCCCAGGACUAUGAAUUGAUGAUAGAGACCAAACUUGUUGCGAGGUUUAUACGACAAGUUCGUCGUAAUAAAUCUAGCCAUAGAUUCUCAUAAUAAUUCCCUGCUUUUGUGCCCACAUCAUCUGACUUAAUCGUGACCGCACAUCCAACUACUUCAAUAUCUAGUGUUUUCUUAUUUGGGAGCAUUAGAGUUGGUUAAUAUACCUUCGAUUACUCUUACACAAUCCAAAAACACAUUGUUCAGUAUAGAAUAAUUUGGUAGGCCAACUCUAAUUUUAAAGUUAGACCACCUUAAUGAUGUAAUGGACUGGUUGGUAGAAAUAAUUAAGUACAAUUAUUAUUAUAAAUAAUACUAGUAGUAAAUCUCGGGAAAAAGAAACACAAAAGCCAACAAGGACGCAUGUGACGCGUAGGGAAUCUAACACUAAACAAUGUCAGACACUGCCCAUUUCUUUUCAGAUGCACCCACCUGUUUAUUUUUCCUAUUUUCGUUUUUCUUCAAUAUUUUUAUAUUGUCUUCCAUAACGAAUAGUCGAAUAAUCUAAACUACUAUAAUAAUAACUCUCAAUCAAUCACUCCUCCCGAAAACUUGACGUGUCUUCUCUUUCUCUCCUUCUCUUUAAAGCUGCUUCGAGUUAAUUAGGGUUCUUAUCUCUUUCUUCCUAUAGCCUCUUAAAAGUUCUUUAAUCUAAGUUUUUUUUUGACAUGUUCUUUAAUCUAAGUUUAUUUCAUUUUUACUUGGUUCUAUUGUUUAAACAUAUAUCGUUUUCUUUUUUUCCUAAAAUCAUUAUAUAUAUACACAUAUAUCUCGUUAUUAAAGAGCUAUAUGGUUUUAUGAUCGUAAUCGUUAGUUUUCUACUCUCUUCCACUUUAUUUUGUGGCGUAAACUUAUAGGAUUAUGUUUAUAUCUGAUAGAAAUUUUCUUUAGCUUAGAUCAUAUGAGUUAAGAUAUCUUGAGCCUACAUAGUUUUUUUAGAUCUGAUACAUAUCAUAUGAGUUCAGAUAUCUUGAGCUUACAUAGUUUCUCAGAUCUGAUGCAUAUCAUAAAUGGAUCUUGAUUUGACAAGCAUCUUUGUGUUCUGUCAGAUUUUGGCCUUCCAAUAUGAUUUUCAUGAGAACAACAAAAAUACAGAAGUAGAGCUCCUUCAAGUUCAAACGAGAGUUUAGCAGGGUAAAGAAAAGCUGCUAAGCUAUGGAUCCCAUAAGCCCUAACCUUAAACAUAGAAAAAGGAUUUGGUUAAUCCUCCAUCGUCUUCCUCCUCGAUCCCAACUAGAUCUCUCCUCUGCAACAACAUUCACGGAGCAACUGUCAAAAUCCGUUAGAAAAUGUCGAUCAACAUGAAAACCUUCACCGAAGCUCUGGCGAGAACCGCCGCCGUGAUCGAGAAGACGGUUCACACCACAGUCCAGGAUUGAAGGGAGCUCUACAUCUUUCAAUUUAUCUAGAUUUAUUUAUCUACAGUAAUGAAUGAAUUUAGUGUUGAUUUUUAAAUUUCUGUAUUGACAAGCAUCCCUCGAAAGGACGGUGCUAGUUAAUUUUGCAGAUGCUGUUCUUUUAUGGUGAUUGUUUUGAUUCUUGAGCGAUGUGCAAGUAAUUGGGGUAAAUGAAAUGCUUCAGUAUAUGCGACGAUCCAUAUUUAUUUGUAACUUUCUAAAUGUUUUGGUUCUUUAUUAUCAAAAGCAAUGCUUUUAUUUUUUAUUUUUAUUUUUUAUGUUUAUAUCUUUCCCGGUCAAUCCGAAGAGUUUUUACUGGUUUAUAUAUUUUGAUUGAUUUAGAUUUCGUAUAGUAUUUAUAAAUCUAAGUAAAAUAUACAAAUUUUUAAAUUUUUUCAGAUUAGUAUUUAAAAAUCCGGAGGUUUUUUUUCAGAUUUGAAUUUUUGUAUUUUUAACUAAAAAAAUCUAUUCAGAUCUAUUAUGAAAUCAAAUUUAUUAGUAAAUUCAUAUGACUGAAUAACACUUGAUUUAAAUUAGAAUUUAUUAAUCAUUAAACCAAUAACAUAUGAUUUUAAUAUAUUUUAACACUAAAUUUAGUUUGAAUUUUCGAAACUAUUAAAAUACAUCGACAAAUAACUUCCUCUCAGUGUUCAAAGUUCAAACUAUUGCUAUCUGCAUAAACUCUUUCCGUGUCAAUCAUCCGAUAAGAUUUCAGAUAAUCCAUUUGUAUUAUGAUAAUUAAUUAAGAAAAGUAAAAGCAUUGAAGGAUAAAUAAUUUAAUUAAUUUGAACAAUUGUAACUUGAGGAAUAGGAGUUCACUGAAUAGUGGCUCUUUAUGCGAAAUCCAAAUUGAUAACUUAUUAAAGAUUGAAGGCUACAAUUGUGUAGAGUAGAAUAUUAUGCUGAUUGACAUACAUUUAAAAAUUUAUAGUACAGUGCAUAUAUGUAUGAUCACUUGUUUCAGAGAGAAUAUAUAUAGCAGUUUUUUAUCAUUGCUCAAAAGGGUAAUGACUAAACUGUAACUUUCUGUUUGCUUAUUUCUCCAGUCGUUCAGUAAUUACGGUUAGCCUCAAUAAAACAAAUGAUUUAAUACAUGAUAAGGUCGACGUGUUAAUUAACUUUUAAAACAUACAAUGCAAGCUGCAACGGCACAAUUGAUCAUUUUUAGCCUGGCUCUACGCCUAUACCCAAAAUCUGACUGACACUCGAGUCAAUUCCGUCCCACUAGGCAACGUAAAACAGUAUAAAACACACCGUUAUCUUUUGUGCAAUGCAGAUAACACCUAAUGGCAAAAAUCAGAAUCACUUAGUGUUUAUAUAUCAAACAUAAAAUGUCAAACACAUAAAAUUUAUAGGAUGCUGAGAAUAUCAAUCAAAAACAAAAAAUGCAUUUGUUACUAGUCGGUCAAUAACACCAAAAUGAGAGAUUAUUGAAAAUCGACUUUGUACGUUUUAUCAUACAUUAAUUCAUGCUCUCUCCAUUCUUCAAUGAUAAAAUUUUGAAUAAAAGUUUCAUAAAGAUAAAAUUUAGGUAUUUUAUAAAUUUUUUACUAUAUAAUAAUAAUAAAUUGUAAAUUUCAAAAAGUUAAUUAAAUUUUCUGUAAUUAUUGAUUUAAAUUUAUUGAAAUUAAUAAAUAUGAUGCAUUUAUGAUACAUAUUUAAUGUGUGUUUUUAAUAUGUAUAACUUUUUUAUGAAAAAUAUAAUAGUUGUAGAAGAGAAGCAAUACUUAAAAGUAAGUACCAAAAGGAAAAAUAUAUAUAUACAUAUUUUGGUGAUUCAAACACGUCGAGUGCAGCCCUGGUCGAAUUUGUACCUUUUUAGUUUGUAAAAUGUCAUUUCUUCUAUUAUCAAGGGAAGUAGGGUGUUUCAGGGGUGGGCGUUCGGGUAUUCGUUCGGGUUCGGAUUGGAUUUUUGGGUAUAGAGGUAUAGAGGUGUAAAAUCCGUUCGGAUAUUUCUGAACUUCGGGUUGGGUUCUGAUAUUUUUAGUUCGGAUUUGGUUAUUUCGGAUAGGGUUCGGAUUUUUAGAUUUUGUAAAAAAAAAAUUAAUUUUUUUCAUUUCUCAAAUUUCUUGUAUUUAAAAAUAUAACUUUCACUUAACUAAUUUUUUAUUUUUAAUACAUUGAAUAGUUAAUAGAUUUUGACAUAACAUUUUGAAACUAAAAAAACAUUAAUUUGGUUAGGGUUUUAAAAUUUUGGAUGUAACCUUUUGUUAAUUCUUGAAAUAAAAAGUUUGACAUGCAUUUUAAGUGAGUAGCAAAUCAUUUUCUCCGUAAAUAUAUGUAUAUCAUAUCAACUUAUCAAUAUAAAUAUUUUAUAUAAAAUGAGAGAUGUAGCUAGAAAUAUAAGGUUAAUUAUACAUAUGUUCGGUUAUCUUCGGAUAUCCAUUAAGGUUCAGAUAUUAUCCGUUCGGGUUCGGAUAUCCAAUCUUUCCUAAUUCAAUAUCCGUUCGGAUAUUUUGCUACUUCGGUUCGGAUUUCGGUUUUGGUUUUUCGGAUCGGGUUCGGAUGCGGCUUCGGAUAUCAGGUAAAAUGUCCAUCCGUAGGGUGUUUAAUUCGGUAAAACUAAACCAAAUAAAAUUAAACUGAACUGAAAUAUAGAAAGCGUUUUGGAUUUGAUAAUACAUAAUAAACCGAAUGGAUGUAAUAUUUUAAAAACCGCAAUAUAUGCAUAUGGUUCAGUAUAUAAACCGAUCUAACCAAAUAAACCAAAUAAAUCAAAUAUUUAAAAUAUAUUAGUAUACUUAUAUGUAUAAUUUAUUUAUUUUAUUAAUAUGAUAUUCAUAACUAAAACAUUGAUUUCAACACAUUUUUAUUUUGUUUUAAGUUGAAAGAGUUAUUUUAUUUUUCUUAUUUUCAUCAAAUUAAAUAAACCAUAAUUUUUAUUGGUAAAUUGUUGUGUUAAAAUAUAAUUAUUUAAUAAUAUUAUAAUAUUACUAUUUUCUUAUUUUUAUUUUCAUACAAAAACGUAAAUAUUAUAUUUAAAAGUUAGAUAAGAAAUAAUAUUAUGUUUUACUAAAUUUAAUUUCUAGUCAUAUAAACUAAAGUUUGUUAUAAAAGAUAAAUAUAAUUAUAGCUUUUGUUAUAAAACCAAAAAAUUAACAAAAACCGGACCGAAAUACAUAUUGAACACGGCUAAGUGAAAAAAUAAAAUACCAUUGUAAUUGACUUGUUUUGUUUAAUUUUGUAAAGAGACAAGGACCGAGCCCUCGUCUACCGAAAUAAUUAUUUAACGCAUGUUUAAAACUUAAACCCAUCCAAAGGCCAUUAGUGCCAUCUCUACUCGUUUUCCUUAGACAGUCAGACUAUCUCACCAUAUAAAUAUUUUCCACAUUUUCCUUUCGUUGGAAACCCCAUUGUCCCGGAAAAAGAGGGGAAGCCUUUUAGUUUAAAGAAACUAAUCUAAGCAUCGACAAUGGCGGAAUGUCUGGUAUUGAAGAGCACGAUGCUUGCUCACACUGACAUGAUCACAGACAUCAGUACACCGGUCGAUAACACUGUCAUCAUCAUUGUAAAUGCAAGAACUAACUCUGAGAGUAAAGGACGUAGUACACCAUAUAAUCUCUCUACAAAGAUACGUGUUAUUACUAGAUAGUAUUAUUUUAAAAGCGAACUUACAAGUUUCUCUUUAAACAGAACUCGAACAAUAUCAAUAUCAUUCUUGACUUGCUCCCCUAGCCUCACACGUCAUAAGAUCGAAUACAAGAUCUCUAGAACUUCUAUCCCUUAGCCCUUAAUGUUAUUCACUCGCUUACAAGUUUAGCGAACUCCACUCUUAUGCUAAGAAUACAAUUCUCUUGACUACCCUAAUCCACAGGUCGAGUAUGACUAUAUAUACAAUACAACCAAGUCGGCUAUCCACGCCUAUGUACCUAAUAUUCACUAUCUACCAAAAUAAGACAAGUUCCCUAAUAAAACCUCUGCAAGGUCUUUUAGAAACUUCCCAUCGUGAGAUCUCCCUUCUCCAAGGUGAAUCUCUUCAAUCUUGCUCCCCAAGAUGUCUUCGUAUUAACUUCGCCUUGGUCCGCAAUCCAAUUUUCAAGUCGCAAUCUUCAUCUUGACUUGCUCAUCCGCACUUACACUUCUCUGUUGCAGACUCUGUUCCAUUCGCUGUUGUACUUGCGUCUGUAUCAGAACGUCCAUUUGAUCUUUGCAUCUACAAUCUCCCCCUUUUAGCUUUGGAUGUCUCUCAAGUACCUGCACAGAUCCGCUCAAACAACACUACAAGAAAAAUAUUCUUUCUUAGCAUAAGAAAACAACUAUAAUAUGCUUUUGUUAGCGUUAUUGAAACCGUUAUAUCUGCCCCAGCUAUCUUAGGUCUCUCAUAUAUAAUAGCAUUUUUUUAAACGCUAUUAUAUAAAGAGCAUAUGAUAGCUUUGUUUUUAACUUGCUAUGGUUAGUGAAAUCUUAUGGUAUUAUUUUGAACGUUAUCGUAUGUUCUAUCUUUGUAAUGUAUCAAUGCUAUAUUUGUAAUUGGUUAUGUGUUAUUAGAACCUGUUCAUAGAAACAUGUUUUGUUGUAAAUUAGAUUGACAUAAAAAAUAAUAUUCAAUUUAUAUUUCAUUAAUAAACCAAAAUAUACUUAUAUCAGUACCACAAACAUGUAAACAUUUUCAUCAAAUCUUACACAAACAUCAUUAUAAUAUCAGAACUAAAUAUAAAAAAGACAAGAAACUAUGGGGAACUAAAUCAAAACCUUGAGCUCCCAUUUUCCUUCUUGGCCUUAGCAUGUAUCUCUCAGAGAAAGCGUAGUGGAUGCACUUUAAUAACCAGACUCCCAUUAACUGAUCUGUCUUAGCAGUGGAUCCUUUUUUAACAUAAAACCAAAAUAGAUGAGAGGAAGAAAGAAAAACCUGUUGAUCAGGAUUCUGAAAUACAAAAAUUCUUAAGGUUUUUACACAAAGACAGUUCCGCUGGUUUGGAUUUAGUACACUGACUAAAAUCUGCAAGCAGAUUUAAUGAGGUGUCACUCACACAAGCAGUAUCGAAAGAUCAUACAUUUCCCUGACCAAGAUCAGCUAAAUUGCUUUAAUAGAAUUUUAAUGAGAGAGAGAGAGGACACAUGCCUUUAGAAAGGGUACUAUUAUCCACACAGCCAUUGGGACCAAGAAGCAUCUGUAAUUGACCAGAAGGAAUCAAUAAGCAACGAUGAAAGGAACAUUACUAGCAAUUAUGUUCUCACAAGACCACUAUAUAAUCACACAUGCCAACAAAUUGCCUAUGUUCAUAAAGUAUGAUCCUUUUUUAACAUAAACCAAAAUAGAUGAUCAAUAUUGUAGGAGUGAAGAAACAUAAACCGGAUCAGGAUUCUGAAAUACAAAUCACAUAAGUCUGUGCCAUUUACCCAAUGUAAAGCCAUUUCACCAGUCACUGCGCUUGUGCUAGAGGAACAUGAUUCCGACCGUUUCUGCAUUUUUACUUCUUCGUAUUGAAGUACACUCAUGUCUCCGGAGUUUGGUGUCCAAUGAGCAGUACAUGUACACCACGGAUAAAAUGAUAGAAAAAUCAUGAAUACUAUUAAAAAAACAAUAAAAAAGGUUCAGCUGUCUAAGCUUAUGAAUUAAGAAUGGAUAAUACAUUCAUUUCAUAGUCUAUAAGUUUAAGAGAUGUAUACUUACUUCUUCUUGAUAACUAGGAUCUGAAGUAACCCAAGAGCCAUUGCAGAUGAUGAAUCAGAGAGUCUGGAUCUGAUGUGUAGAUCUUCUCUUAACACGAAGCGAUGCAUCUCAAAACCUCGCAAGCUGAAGAAAAGGAUGUGAGCUUAAGUUUCAGUGAUCCAAGCCUAUCAAUAUUGUAUUCUAAUAAAUUGGACUACACUAACACGCGGAUAUUAAAUUAUCUAGAAACAAGGCUUAACGUGGUUUUCAAAAUAUUCCAGUCAGACAAUAUUUAAACGUAUAUGAUACCAAUUUCAGUUCAAAUUGACAACGCAAAAAGAGUAUAUAUGGUUCAGAAUCUUGAUUGGAGAAAGAAAAAUACAAUGAAACCAUGUGGUUAAGAUGUUUCAAGGACUGAUGAUCCGUGUGGAUCAUAAACUCUUUUGGCCAAAGAUAAUGAUGCCAUGUUUGAAGAGCCCUCACCAAAGCAUACAACUCCUGGUCAUAAGUGGGGUAGUUGAGCGUGGCUCCUCCAAGUUUCUCACUGAAAUAAGCAAUGGGUUUCCUAUCGUGCAUCAGAAUAGCACCAAUACCAACACUCGAAGCAUCACAUUCAAUCUCAAAAGUUUUAGAGAAAUCAGGAAGAGUAAGCAAAAGAGCUUGAGUUAACUUUCCUUUUAGAAUCUGGAAUGCCUCUUUUUGGGCUUGUUCCCACUUGAACCCAAUGUUCUUCUUGAUCACUUCAGUAAGCGGAACCCAAUGUUCUUCUUGAUCACUUCAAUGGGCUUCUGGACGAAUCGUCUGUAGAAGCCGGCCAGACCAUGUAAACUCCUUACUUCGCCCACGGUCGUUGGACUCGGCCAAUCUCGGAUGGCUUUGAUCUUUUCCUCGUCCACUCUAAGUCCAUUAUCACCUAAAACAAAGCCUAAGAACACCACGUGAUCUGUUCCAAAAGAGCAUUUUCCAAGAUUUGCAAAACGUUUUUCUUUCCGUAGAACAUCAAGAACAGAUUUCAAGUGCAUCUUAUGGUCAUCAAGGUUCUUGCUGUAGAUAAGAAUAUCAUCAAAGUAAACAGCCACGAAAUGACCAAUGAAAGACCUUAAGAUAUGAUUCAUCAAACGCAUAAAAGUGCUAGGUGAAUUAGUAAGACCAAAUGGCAUGACAAGCCACUCAUACAAUCCUAGUUCCGUCUUAAAUGCAGUUUUCCACUCAUCACAUGCUUUCAUUCUAAUUUGGUGAUAGCCACUUUUUAAAUCAAUCUUAGAGAAUACUGACGAACCAUCCACCUCAUCUAGCAUGUCAUCAAGCCUAGGAAUGGGAUGCCUAUACUUUCCGUAAUGUUGCUGAUGGCACGACAGUCCACACACAUGCGCCAAGAUCCAUCCUUUUUGGGCACUAGGAGGACUGGCACAAAACAAGGGCUAAGGCUCUCCCGGAUGUAGCCUUUCUCCAGAAGAUCACCAAUCUGCUUCUGAAGUUCCUUGGUCUCCACUGGAUUGGUUCUAUAGGCUGGCCGGCUCGGUAGAGAUGCUCCGGAACAAAAUCAAUCUGAUGUUCUAUGCCUCGCACUGGUGGCAAUCCCUUAGGAUUCUCAUCUGGAAAAACAUCAGAAAAUCCUGCAAAACAUCUAGAAACUCACUCGGAAUCUCCGGUGCAAGGUCAGAAGAAGGUGAAGCCAUAAGAGAUUCUUUAUACACAAGUAAAAGAAAUGGCUUUUGAGAGUAGAGAGACCUCUUGACCUGACUUUUUUUUAUGAAGAAGUUGGAGUUCCGUUGAGAUGACUCAGGCUCGUCCGGCUUAGGUUCCUGGUCGCGGUUCUUCUUGAGUUGGACCUGAUCUUGGUGAACCUCUAAUGGAGACUAAGGCACCAGCGUGAACUUCUUUCCUUUAUGGUCGAAGGAGUGUCGGUUUGUGAAGCCAUCAUGGAUGGCUCUCUUAUCAAACUGCCAUGGACGGCCCAGAAGGAUGUGACAAGCGUCCAUAGGAAGAACGUUGUAAACAACCUCAUCCUCAUAUCGUCCAAUGGUAAGAGGGAUCGUGACUUGUUCCUUGACAUACUGUUCACCGGUUUCAUUGAGCCAUUCCAACCUGAAAGGACGUGAAAGAGGUCGAGUAGCUAGCCCUAGCUUCCUGACAAGAGUAUCACUAGCAACAUUAGUACAACUCCCACCAUCAAUGAUCAAAGAACAAAAUUUUUCAGAGAUUAAACAACGAGAAUGAAAGAGAUUCUCCCUUUGUUCUUUUUCAUUGGUUUUGGGCUGAACACUCAAGGAACGUCUAGUGACCAAUAGUGGUCCAUAAGCUGGGUGGUCAAAGCUGUCCUCCUCAUCAAAGAUUGGCUCAGAAUCAGUGUCAAAGGCCGGGCCAAGAUCGUCGUCCGUGUGGCCGUCCGUCUCAUCAAAGAUGGGAUCGUUCCAAGCCUUCCUAGCAACGAGCAAUGGUCCGUGAUGUGGGUAGUCGAAGGACUCCUCUUCCUCAUCAAAGAUAGGACCAAGAUCCUCCUUGUCCCCCUGUUCAUCCUCGGACUCAACCUCUCCAUUCUCCAUGAGAAUCAUUACUCUUUGGUUCGGACAUUUGUUGGCAUAGUGUCCUAGAUCUUGACACUUGAAGCAUCUGAUGUCUCUUGCACGGCUAGGAUUCUUAAUAGCUUUUCCUUUGUCAACACGAGCAGGAACAUCAGUUUUUAAAGCUGUAAUUGUUGUGGAAGAAGACUUACCUUUGUCUUGAUAACUUGGCUUAGGAGCAAAGGACGGCUUAAGAGUAAAGGUCGGCUUUGAGUCGCUCUUUCUUUUGACCUGUUGUUUGAUCAAGAUGGCCUUUUGCAACAUCUGCUCCACGGUUCCAUACUCUUGAAGCUCCAUUUGGUCUUAGAUGUCUCGGUUGAGGCCGAAUAAGAACCUAGCCAUAGUAGCGUCCAUGGGCUCGUCCACAUCGGCCUUGAUCAUCAAAGUUUCCAUCUUCUAGUGGUAGUCUUCCACGGUCUUGGUGCCUUGAACCAAACGUCUGAGUUUCUGGUGGAGGUCUCGGUGAUAAUGGGCAGGAACAAAACGUCUCCUCAUCAGCACGGAAAGCUCGUCCCAUGUCUCAAUCGGUCUUUCACCUGUUCUCCUCAUGUGGGUCACAACUUGAUCAUACCAAUUAAUAGCAUAGCCGGAGAAUUCAGUAACAGCUAGUCUAACUUUCUUAAGUUCAGAAAAAAUUUUACAAUCAAAGAGAUGUUCAAUUUUUCUUUCCCAUUCAAGAAAAACAUCAGGAUCGUUUUUUCCCUCAAAAGGUGGGAUUUUCAGUUUCAAUCCUCCUAAGCCAUCAUCAGUACGUCCAUUUCUAGCAAAAGGAUUGGUAUCACCUGGUUCCUGGUUUCUGUGACCUCUCCUAGGUAGAUUGGUGGAUCGGACGUCGUCCUCAUGAGAGUCCUCCUCUCGGACCUCAUCAUCAGACCGGUUCGGCCUCCUUGGGCGAUCUCUCCUGGUUCUGGUUCUAGGACGCGGCUGUUGACUGUUCAGGAUCUCAUCUAGCCUUAGACGGAUCUGCUCAAGACCUGCGUUCAUAAGAUUAGUAAAAUAAUCAUUCAAGGCUCGCAUCUGCAAGUUAGAUAAAUCGGCCACAGAGUUUCCGGGUCGGCUCCUUUCGUCUCCGCUACUCAUGGUUUCCUGAAAAUUCUUAAACACAAAACUUUAGAUAAAAUCCUCACUCUCUCAAGUGUUUGAUCUCACCCACACAUGUGUUUCUCUCAGAUUUUUGGUGAUCACUCAAAAAGCCUUAUACUCAAGGUUCUAAGAGUUCUAAUCAAGGAAUCCCAAGGGACAAACUUCAAGCAAACAAGGGAAUUUUUUUUUUUUUUUGUAAGAUAGAUAUUCGGCCACCUCAAAGGCUAGGUUUCUCCUCAGCCAGCAGGUUUUCUCUUCCACCACCAAUCCACAAAUCAACUCUUUGAAUUAUUAUUUUUUAAGUCGUAGAUCUCCCUUUUUUGUCUAGUAAAUGGCAAUGAGGGCCCCGGAUUUAAGAUAGAAAGAAGAAGAAGAAAUGUUUAUGAAAUGGGAGAUGAGAAGAUGAACAAAAUAGACAAUACCGGAAGAGAUCGGCUCUAAUACCACCUUGAUACGCCUUAGAAAGGAUCACUCAACCGGAUUGGAAAAGAUAUGAACUCCGAAGGAGAUCUAAUGGAUCGAUGGGUCUCACAAAGGUUGCGGAUUGGCCUUUGAUAUUCCUGAACCAGAUUGUUGCUGGAUGUGACGCACCGGUCCAACAAAGAGGCGAUCUUGAACCGUUGCCUGAUAUGACUCACAAGACCAACGGACAAGAAGAGUUUGCUUGGAGCUAACCACACCAAGGAAACAAGAAA